UCCACUUCAAGUGAUUUAUUGAGUAAGUUGGAAACCUUUAAAAGAGGUUUGAAAAAUUGGGCUCGACAAAUUAGACUUAGUAGGGAAGGUAUCAAGGAAAACUUCUCACAGAAAUUAGAAGAAUUAAGUCAUGGAGAAAAAGAUGAUAAGACUUUGGCGGAGUUUAUUGAUACAAAUGUAUUGUUAAAUUUCGAGAUAGAGAAAGAUGAGAUGUAUUGGGAGCAAAGAGCUCGUGUUAAUUGGCUAAAAUUAGGUGAUAGAAAUACAUCUUUUUUCCAUAAGCAUGCGUCUCAAUGUAGAAGUAGAAACUUUAUUCGAUGUUUGCAAUAUGAGGAUGGGAGGGUUACAAACGAUGAGAGUAUUAUGGAGGAGUUAGCUCGUAAUUAUUUUCAAAAGCUUUUUUCGUCUAAUGGUGUGGGGAAUUCGGUUCAUUUAUUACUUGGCAUUAAGAGAUGUGUUACUAGUGAUGAUAAUUUGAAACUUACGUCAAUAUACACAAAGGAGGAAGUGUGGUUGGCACUAAAAGGGAUGGCGCCCACUAAGGCAUCUGUGGAAGAUGGCCUUCAGGUUGUUCUUCUAAAAAUGUUGGCACAUAAUUGGGGAGGAAGUUGCAGCUUUUUGUUUGAAUAUUCUCAACGAAGGUAUGGAUGUUGAUUCUUUGAAUGUUACUAAUAUUGUUUUAAUUCCAAAACUCCUUGGUCCCACAAAUAUAGGUAAUUUUAGGCCUAUCAAUUUAAGCAAUGUACUUUAUAAGGUGGUCACAAAGAUGAUAGUUAAUCAUCUUAAAGAAGUUCUUGAGGUAUGUAUUGAUAGUGCUCAGAGUGCUUUUGUUCCUAGUAGGCUAAUUUCUGACAAUGUGUUGUUAGUGUAUGAAAUUCUACAUACCUUCCAACGGAAAAGAAUGGGGAAAAAAAUUUAUGGUUGUUAAACUUUACAUAAGUAAGGCUUAUGAUAGGGUCGAAUGGCAAUUUCUUCGGGAUAUGAUGAUCCGUAUGGGUUUUGAUUUGGCAUGGAUUUCAACUGUUAUCAAGUGUGUUUCUUUUGUCUCUUAUUCUGUUGUUGUUAAUAGAAUCGUUGGAAUAUCUUUAAACCUACUAGGGGAAUCAGACAAUGUGGCCCUUCAAGCCCGUUUCUAUUCUUAAUCUACAAUGAGGGAUUAUCUGCUCUUAUGAGAUUGCCAAUUAGAGAUGGCCUAACAAAAGGCGCUAAGGCUAGUAGGAGUGGCCUUCAAAUCUCCCAUUUACUAUUCACUAAUUAUUGCAUAUUGUUUGGUGAGGAAAAUGUUAGAGGGGCUCAAAUGUUGAAAUCAAUACUAGGGAAGUAUGAAAAAAGUUCUGGUUAAUGUGUUAAUUUCGAAAAGUCUACAGUUUUUUACAGCUCCAAUAUCUUAGAAGUUAACAGACGACUAGUUUCUAGCAUUUUAAGGGUGAGAAGUUCAAAUAAUCCUAAAAGGUAUCUUGGGUUAUCCAAUAUGGUGGGUAGAAGCAAAAAAACUUUCUUUUCAAAAUAUUAAGGAUAAUUUUCUCAAACGAAUUGAGAGUUGGGGUGUUCAGUUUUUGUUUCAAUGAGGGAAAGAAGUCUUUACUAAAUAUGUUUUACUGGCUAUUCCGUCUCAUUCAAUGGCAUGUUUCUUACUCCCAAAAAUGCUAUGUGGUGAUUUGGAAAGAAUUAUGGCUAAUUUCUGGUGGUAAAAAAGUCAUGGUAAAAGGGGGAUUCACUGGUGUGGUUGGGAUCAACUAUGCGAGUUCAAAGAAAAUGGCGGAAUGGGUUUUCGAAGUCUUUUUAAUUUCAAUAUUGCCUUAUUAGCGAAAUAGGGGUGGUGUUUAAUCAAUUAUCCAAAUUCCCUUUUAACGCGUGUUUUAAAAGCCAAGUAUUAUACAUCUACAGAUUUUCUUAAUGCAAGAUUAGGGAGUCUACCUUCAUAUACCUUGAAAAGUAUAUGGGGGUGAAGGGUUGGAUUGGGCCAGAAUAUUUCCAUAAGGGAAGAUAUAUGGUUACCAAGUGUAACAACCCGUUUUCGGUAAAACUGGAAUAGUGGUUUUGGACCACAAAUCUGAUUCUAGAAAGGAAAUUCAUUUUAAUAUUAUUUUAUAAUCUACAGUAUGAUAAUAAUAUCGUAUGAAAUUUUCAUUAAGAAAUUUUAUUGAUUAUAUGUUUAAUUUGAUAAAGGACCAAAUUGAACAAAGUGUAAAAGUUGAAUUCUAAUAGCUAAAGGGAUUAAAUAGCUAUGAAAUUCAAAUUUUGAGGUCCUUAAAUGGUAAAUAGACCAUUUAAAAUGCUUAGUUGUUAAGGAUGAUUAUUCAUUCAUGGAAAAUAAAAUAAAGAAAAUGAUGAAACUAGAAAAUGAAAUAGUAAAAGAUAAUAAAUGAUAAAAAAAAUGAAAAUAUCAUCAAUUUUAUCAUCUUCUUCCCCAAAAAUACAUGGAAACCCUAGGAAAGAGAAAUCAAGCUUUCAUGGCUUAAUUGGGUAAGUAAUCUUGUCUCGUUUUUAAUAAUUUUUAUAUUUCCGAGAUUAAAAUAGCUUAAUCUAUCUAUUUUUGGGAUUAAUUUGUAAAGAUAUCAAAGUAUAGAAAUUUUUCCAUGGAUGUACAUGCUGAAAUUUUGAAAUUUAUGGUAGAAAAUGAAAGGUUGUUGAUAGAUAAACAACUUUUGUAAAGUGAAUUUUGAUGAAAUUAUGAUUUUAAGAUUAAAUUAUAAAGUUGUAAAAUUCAAGCAAAAAUUUUGAAUUUUAUGAAAUAUAUGGGCUGUAAAUUUUAUAUGUAAAAUUCGGCUAGUCUUGGAAUAAGGGUUAAAUUGCAUGAAUUUCAUUUUCCGAGCCUAGGGACGAAAUCAUCAUUAAUUAAAAAUUUAGGGGCAAAAUGACAAUUUUGCCUAAGAUGUGAAUUGGACUGAAUUGAGUGUGAAUUGUAUUAAAUUGAUGCUAAAUUUACUCGUAUAGAUCCGGAUAGACCAAAUUCAGAGUUAGAGCGAGGAAAAUAGAAAGUAUCGAAUUAGUAGAUUUUACGUAUACGAACAUUUAUUGAUGUAAGUUCGUGUAACUAAAUUGUGUUUAUUUUUAUGCUUGAAUUGAGUGUGGUAUGUGUUUAUAUGAAUUAUAUAAAUGUUAUAAAUGUAUGAAAUAAUCACAUGCCCAUUAAUGUUCAGAAAAUGAUAAUUUCUAUUUAAAUAAUGUAAUUCGAUGGAUACAUGAUUUCCCGUAUUGAUUGUGGUCCUGCAUAUGUAGUGGACAGAAUAUAGCUCAGGUGAGCAACCCUGAUAAAAGCCCUCUCGAGCAUCCUGCUAAAUAGUUCCAGCGAGCAUCCUAAUUUGUAGUGAUUUUGCAUGUGCUGCAUAUUACCGCAGCUCUUUGUGAGCAUCCUGUUACAUGAUUCAAUCGGUUGUGAUCCAGCAUAUAUUGCGGGCACAAAUGCAGCUUUACGUGUGUGUCCUGAUAUAGGCUCUUAUGAGCUUCCUGACAUGGCUUGCUUAAACUUUCUGUUAAGCUAUCCGGAGCUCCUGUUACAUGGCUCUUUGUGAGCAUUCCUGAUAGGCUCUUUGUGAGCUUCCUAAUAAAAAGUUCUUUGUGAACUUCUUGUUAUAAACUCUUAUGAGUUUCUUGGUAUAGCCCGGAUAAGCUUUCUGUUACAUGGCUCACAUAAGUAUCCUGAUAUAUGGCUCGAGAAUGUGCUUCCUGAUUAUAUGCCCUUAUGGGUACCCCUGAAUAUGAAUUGACGGUUUCUGAUUUGUAUACUUCGAGUGUACUAUAUUUCAAAUAAAUUCAACAGGCAAUAUCCUGACAUGAGAAAAUAUGAACACGAAAUGAAUUUUUACAUGUAUCUACCUGAAAUACAUGAAAAUGAUGAUACAUGAUAUAUGGAAGUAUGAGAUAGUGAUAUAUGAACAUGGAACUUGUUUGAUGAAUAUGUUCAAGUGUAUUUUCUCGGAUUUCUAUUGAUAUUUUAAUUGAUUUAAUGAGCAAAAUCCUGACAUGAAAUAAUCUAAACUUGAGACAAAAUAUUAUGAAAAUGUACUUGAAAUACAUGGGUAUGAAUUAUUUAUAUUAUUUGAAUUCAUGAUGUGGAAAGUAUAUGUAUAUGGGAAUUUGGUUGUUAUUGAGCCCAUACAUGAUUCUUAAUGUUUAUAUGAGAUAGUAUGACUUAGAAACGAACUAUUACCCGUAUGUACAUGAAGUACAUGGAAAUGACAUUACAUGAUAUAAUGAUACAGAAAUUGGUUGUUACAUGAAUGUGGAUCAUGCUUGAUGACUUUGUUCAUCCAUGAUUAAGGACAAUUUUAUGUGAUUACUUGGCUAACAUGAUGAGGAUAUGUAUUUAGGGCUUGUGACAAAAUUGGUUUAUAAUGCCUUGCAUGUUUUUUUUUAACAUAAAUAUAUGGUAAGUUAUUUACCAUGUUAUACAAACUUAUUCAUGCUUACUGUGUUUUAUUUCCCUUGUUCUAUAGUAAUUUAGAAGCUCGUUGGAUUGAAAGCAUCAGUGGAGAUCACUCAUACUAUUCAUCGGUUCAUCUUGGUAUAUACGGUAAAUUAAUUAUGGUUAUAAUGACAUGUAUAGGUUAAUUAACCAAUGUUGGCAUGUAAUGUUUGGGUUAGAACUAGCCAUUAGAAUGGCUUGUGAUGAACAUGUUUUGAUAUGUAUAAAUGAGGCUAUAACAUGUUUGGUGUGUGCUUAAAUGAUUGAUUGAUAGAAAUAAUGUUGGCAUAUUGAAAAUUAAUUCUAACAUAUUUGAUAAAAUAUGCAUAUAGGUGAAUUCGAUAAGUUAAGUAAGUUUGUAUAUUUAAUUACAAGAUGGUAAAGCGUCAUUUGAGGUGUUUAAGAGCACAUUAGUUGUAUGUGAUGAUAUGUCAUGCAUGAGACUUGGUUUUGACUUGAGUUAAUUGUUUUAAAAUGACUUGUAAAUAUGUUUAAGUAUUGGUGUAAGAGGAAGACCAAUUGGGUGAGAAAUGUGGCUUGGAGAAUAGCUUAUUUUUGUCCACACGGGCAUGUGUCUCAGCUAGAGGUGAUCAUGGGCCGGGCCGGGCUUGUUCGGGCUGGGCCCAGACAAAAUUUUAGGCCCGUCUACUAGGCCCGAGCCCGGCCCAGCCCGAAAUAUGGGCCUAAAAAUUUGUCCAAGUCCAACCCGAAAUAAAAUUGCUAAGCCCGAGCCCGGCACGGCCUGACCCAUAUUAAAUUUUUUUUGCUUAUUUCAUUAAAUAAAAAAUUUUAAAAAUAUAAUAAAUCAAAUAUAUUUAAAAACAUAAAAACAAAUAUUAAAACAAAUAAAAAUGAUACUAAAACAAUUUUUAAAACAAUACACAAAUUGACAAUAUAAUAAAAAAUGGUUAUAUUAAAAAUUUAAAAUGAUUAAAAAUAAAAUAAAAAAUAUAUUAAUAUAUAAUUCAGGCCGGGCCAAAAAACUCUUACCCGAGGCCCGGCCCAUUUUUUAAACGGGCCUCUUUUUUUGCCCAAGCCUAUUUUUCGGGCCUAUAUUUUUACCCAAACCCUCCCAUUUUUGGGCGGGCCUUCGGGCCGGGUCGGGCCGCCCAGCCCAUGAUCAGCUCUAGUCUCAACUGUGUGUGACACACGGCCUAGCAAAUUAGCAUGUGAUCUAGCCGUGUAUCCUCUACAUCUUUAAAAUGUCAAAACGGAAUGCUCAAAAUUGAUCACACGACCUAGCACACAGGCAUCUGGAUUGGACGUGUGAACCUUGUACGCACACACGACCUAGCACACAGGCGUGUGGGUUGGCCGUGCGACCUAAGUCAGAGAGUUACAUGUCUGAGAAUAUAAAUGGAUUAAAUUCUUAUGAUCAAAAUAAAUAAACUAAAUUUCAAAUGUAAAGAGAAUAUAAAGACCCGAAGCAUAAUUAAACCUUUUCUCUCUCUCUAUAUAUAUAUAAGGGAUCUAUUUACAUUGAUGCAAAACUUAAGUGAUUUUAUACCCUUUCGUAACUUUUUAUACUUUUAAUAUUUUAACAAUCCAACAAUUAAAUUUAUCAAGAUAUUUGUACUUAUCAUGCAUGUAAUUUUUUAAAUUGAUUUACUAUUUCUAUCACACUGAUCUAAAAUGUUGUCUAUAUUAAUAGAUACGUCUGAAUAAUUGCCAUAGCAUCACUAUUGACUUAAGUACGGUUGCAGCUUGUCUCAAUUGAUAUUAGGAAUUAUCAUUUUCGUAACUUUUUAUAACUCCAAUUCUAUCAACAAAUCAAUUUAAUAUUAGUAAUUUUAUAUCAUUUCAGGUCUAACAUUCAUAUACAAUUAGAAAUAUAAUCAAGUUCAUAUUAAAUGAACUUACAUGAUGAAAAAACGAAGUUGAAAUCGAGACAAUGAUCAAUCUGUUCCUUUAACCUUUCCGCAAUUAGAGCCUAAUUGAUUUAUUUCUUGAUCUAAUAUGAAACCAAAGCUUGACCGAAGUUUUUCAAGCCCUAACAAUGGUUAUUCGGUUCAAGAAAAAUAUGAUAUUUACCUUUAAUUCAUUAAAUUUAACUUACCAUUUAACUAUUUACAAUUUUAACCUUUUAAUUUUCACUUAUAAAAUUACUCUCUUAUGUACAUAAAUGUCCAUAACAUAUAACUAUGGUAUAAUUACUAUAACAGCCCAUUUUUCAGUGAAAUCGGAACAGUGGUUUCGGGACCACAAAUUCGAUCCAAAAAUAAAGUUUAUUUUUAUUUUAUUAUUAUUAUAUGGUCUGUGAUAGAUUUGUUGUGUGAAAAAUUUGAUAUGAAAUUUUUAUCGAUUAAGUGUUUAAUUACGAGAAGGACUAAAUCGCAUAAAAUGCAAAAUUCUAGUAGUUAUAAGGAUUAAAUAGCUAUGGAAUUCAAAACUAGAGGUCCUUAUAUGGUAAUUAGACCAUAAAAGAAAACUAUGUAGAUUUUUGGUGACUCAUCCAUGGAAAAAUUAAAAAAAGGUAAGGACUAAAUUGGAAUUAAAAUAAUUAAUUAAUUAAAAAGAUGAUAAAAGAUAUCAUCUUAUUAUUUUGUCAUCUUCAACCUCAAAAAUUAUAUGGAAACCCUAGGAGAGAAAGCAAAAACUUUCAAGGCUUAAUUGCUUUGUCCUAUUUUUAGUAAUUUUGAUAUUUUUAAAACCGUGAUAACUUAAUCUAUCUAUUUGGGGCAUUAAUUUAAAAAGUUAUUAUGAAAUUUGGGUCAUGGAUGAAUAUGCUGAAAAUUAGAAAUUUAUGGUAGAAAAUGAAAGGUUGUUGAUAGAUAAACAACUUUUACAAAGUGAUUUUUGAUGGAAACAUGAUUUAGGGACUAAAAUGUAAAGUUGUGAAAUUUGAUGAAGAAUUCUGAAUACAUGUGCUGUAAAUUUUGUAAUGGGAUUUUGGUUAGGCUUGGAAUAUGGAGUAAAUUGCACAAGUUUCAUUUUCCGAGCCUAGGGACGAAAUUAGAAUUUAGGGAAAAGUUAUGGGUAAAAUGGUAAUUUUUUCUAGGACGUAGAUUGAGUCCAAAUGAAUACAAAAUAUGAGAAAUUGAUGAUUAAAGAUAUUUAUAUAGAUCCAGACAACAUAAAUUCGAGGUUAGAUCGAGGAAAAGAAAAGGUUUUGGAUUCGUAGAUUACUUAUGCGAACAAGUAUCGAGGUAAGUUCGUGUAACUUAAUCGAACAUGUAAAUAUGUUUAAUUGAAUUUUGUGUUUGUAUGGAAUGUGACUUAUAUUGAUGUACAUUAUUUAAAUGCUAUAAUGAAAAUUUUAAUACAUGCUUGAAAUGGUGAAAAAGGGUUAAGUCUCGAUUGAAUACUGAAUUCCGAUGAUUAUAUGCGCUUUCUCGAAAUGAAUAAGGUCCUGCAUUUGUUACGGACGGGAUUUAGCUCAGACGAGUAAUCCUAUUGAUCUUGUUAUAGAAAGGAUUUAGCCCAGAUGGGCAAUUUGAUAUAAUAUCUCUCGAGUAUACGUUACGAUUAGGGUUUAGCUUGGACUGGUAAUCCUGUUAUACGAAAUGUGGCUCGAAAGCGUGUUCCUUGGUUAAGUGCCCUAAUGGGUACUCUUAAAUAAAAAUUGAUGGGUUAUUGAAUUGUACGCCUCGAGUGUACUACAUGAGUAUCCAUCGGAAUAUCAACGAUUCAACAGACAAAACUCUUGACAUGAUGAGAGAAUUAUGAUAUGAAAUGAUAAUGUCUUGAAAGAAUAUUGCAUGAUGAGCUCAUCUAUGUUUACUUGAUUGAUAUGAAGAUUUUGUGACUAGCAUGUUUGAUUGAAUGUAUGUGUUUAGACAAUUAUUCCAAAUGGAUGGAAACAAGAUAUUGUAUGCUUAAAUUUAAUAAACACAGGAUUGGUAAGUUUAGUUUCCGUUAUACGAACUUACUAAGCAUGUAAUGCUUACUCCAUUUUAUUUUUCCACUAUUUUAUAGUGCUCUGAAGCUCUCAAAGGUUGGAGAUCAUUGGAGCAUCAUCGCACUAUCCACUAGCUAUUUUGGCUAUAUAUAGUAAAAUCAUUUUGGUAUAAUGGCAUGUUUAGGCGAUUUUGGCCAUAGAUGGCUUAUAUAUGUGGUUUGUAAUCUAGCCAUUGGAAUGGCUAGUAAUGGUUGUUUUUUAUAUACUUGUAAUGUCAUACUAUGGUAGCUAUAUGCAUGUUAAUGGUUGUUCAAAUUAUGCCUAACAUUAAUAUAUGGAAUAUACCAAGGUAAGAUUAUAAACAUGUAUGCAAACAAUGAUAUGCCAUGUUGGAUGAUGAAAAUUGCUCAAUUUGAAUGCUUGAAAUGGUUGGAAUGUGUUUGGUAUGUUUUAGUGCAGGAAAAUGGUAAAUUUGGGUGACAAAUAAGGCUAGGAAAUGGCUUUAUUUUGUCCAUAUGGGCAGACACACGGGCGUGUGUCUAGACUGUGUGUGACACACAGCCAGGUACGUGGGCGUGUAGUUAGGCCAUGUGUUCCAUGCAUCUUAAUUUUGAGAAACAGAAUGUUCACAAUUGAGCACACAGGCAGAGACACGGGCGUGUGUCUUAGCCGUGCGUUCUACACGGCCUAGAACAUGGGCGUGUGUCUUGGCCGUGUGAAACCUACACCUAAUUUCGAAUUGAAUUAAUUAACCACACGGCCUAGAACACAGGUGUGUGGCAUGGCCGUGUGCACAAGUCAGAGAGUUACACGGGGUCGAACACGGCCUGCAGCACGGAUGUGUCCUAGGGUCACACGGGCAUGUCCCUUAGACCACACAGGCGUGUGACCCCUGCACCUAGGAAAUUUUUGAAAUUUCGUAAAAAUUUCUUAGAGGUCCUAAUUAAGUCCCGACUUGAUUCUAACGUUCAUAUUGGGCCUUGAGGGUCCAAUUAAGGGACAUUUUAUUUGAUCUCGGUUAAUGAAUAAUAAUUUACAUGAAUUAUUUGUAAAAUGUUUUGAAAGUUCUGGUAAUGCCCCGAAACCCUGUUUCGACGACGGAUAUGAGUUAGAGGUGUUACAAUUACCAUCCAAGGAAGGUUUAAUUGCACAAUUGGUUAUUCAAUUAUAUUAAAUUUCAACUAAACAAGCUUAAUUUCAAUUCAACCCUAAACUAAUUAGAACUAAAUGAGCAAAUAGCGAAAAAGUUAGUAGAUUUAAUCACGUCACCACCGCUUGGACUUUUUUACCAUGGUUUAAUCACCAUUUUGGUCCCUUCAGUAUUUUAAAUCUAUAGUAAUUAACUUUUACCUCUUUUACAAUUUAAUCUUUUUACCUUAAUUAAGCAAUUACUCGUAAAAAUUACUGGACCAAACUUCAAUUCACCUAUAAUAUGACUCUGUAAGUAUUUAAUAAAAUAUUUACAACUUUAAAAUUAUAAACACGAUGUCUCAAUACCUCAUUUUCAACAACCAUUUAACUUUUGGACUAAACCGUUUAUACUAGGUUUAGUACCAAUAAAGGCCCAUUUUCAAAAUUAUUUAAAAAAAAGGGUCGUUUCUAAAAAUAAUAACAGGUAUAGAUCGAAAACCCAAAAACACACUGACGUGGACACAUUUUCAGGGGAUAACCCAGAAAAACGCUUUCACGUCAGCUCUUUUUUCUUUGUGUCAGGCAAAAGCACGCUGACGUAUACGCACUUUUGGCUGUGUAAUCCUUGCUGGAUUUGCUUUUGUUGAACUUCUCGAUGUUAUUCAGGAUCUGGGUUUGUCUAUUGUUCAUUGUUGAAUCACCAUUGGAAGCACUAUAACACCUUAGAUCUUGCAUGGCAUUGAUGCCAUUCUUACUCUCUAUUUGUUGAGCCUUUUCUUCCUUACUUGGAUCUAAAAUUUUCCAUAGAAUUGUUGUAAGAGAAGAAAAAAAUAAUCGAAAUUUCAUUUUCCGAGCCUAGGGACGAAAUCAUAAUUAAAUAAAAGUAUAGGGGAAAAAUAGUAAUUUUACCUAAGAUGUGAGUUGGAUUGAAUUGAAUAUGAGUUGUAUUAAAUUAAGUUAAAUUUACUCGUAUAGAUCCAGAUAGACCAAAUAUGAAAUUGGAUCGAGGAAACGAAAAGACAUCGGAUUAGUAAAUUACAAUUCACGAACACUUGUCAAGGUAAGUUCGUGUAACUAAAUUGUGUAUAUUUAUAUGUUUGAAUUUAAUGUUGUAUAUGUGUAUUGUAUAAUUUACAUGUAUGAAAAUCGGUCACAUAUCCGAUAAUGCUCGAUAAGUAAUAAGUCCCGAUUGAAUAAAUGAAAUUCGAUGGAUACAGGGUUCCCAAAUUGGUUGUGGUCCUGCAUAUGUUGCGGACACACCAUAGCUCGAAAGAGAGUUCCGUUAUUAGCCAUCUCAAGCUUCCUGCUAUAUGGUUCUUGCGAGCUUCCCAUUAAUAGCUCUUCGGAGCAUCCCGAUUGGUUGUGAUUCUGCAUGUGUUGUAGACACACCACAGCUCUUAUGAGCGUCCUAAUAUAUGGCUCUUAGUAAGCUUCUCGAUUAAAGUCUCUUUAUGCACUUCCUGAUUAAUGGCUCUCCGGAGCUUCCCGAUAUGGCUUGCUUGAACUUCCCAAUAUAUGGCUAUCUGGAGCUUCCUAAUUAAUGACUUUUCGGAGCUAUCCUUUAUUGGAUCGCAUGAGUUUCUAGAUUAUGGCUCGCAUGAGCUUCCCAUUAUGCAACCCGGAUAAGCUUCCCGUUAUACAACCUGGAUAAGCUUCCCGUUACAUGGCUCAUAUAAGCUUACUGUUAUAUAGCUCGAGAAAGGGCUUCCCGAAUAUGUGCUCUAAUGAGUACCCUCGAAUAUGAAUUGACGGAUCUCUGAUUCAUACACUUCAUGUGUACUACCCUUAUAUCCAUCGAUAUUUUAAAUGAUUCAAUGGGUAAAGUUCCGAUAUGAGAUGAUAUGAAAUCAAGAUGAAUUACUAUAAGAAAUACUUGAAAUACAAAGAUAUGAUUACAUGUAUGUGGAAAUUGAAUAUUGAUGAGCUCAUUCAUGUUUCUUAGUAUUUAUGUGAAUUACAUGAUUACAUGAUUAACAUGUUUGAUAGAUAUGUCUAGGCAAUUGGCCAAAUUGAUUUACUAUUUCUAUCACACUGAUCUAAAAUGUUGUCUAUAUUAAUAGAUAUUUAAUUGUCGAAAGUUUUUUGAAAAAUUUUGUGAUUUAUGCUAAACUAUACAUAUACAUAAUCAAAAUCUUUUUUUUUUCAUUCCCGAAGGCUAUUCAUUUGGUUAAGGCGAUGAAGUCAAACAGAUCUUAAACAACUCGAUUGGAUUAUAAUUUUAUAAUUUGAGUUUGUUCAAGCUAAUUGAAUUUACUCCGCCAAACUUGUUUGCAUGUUAAUAACCAAAACUCGUUUGCACUCUGUGAAAUUAUAAGAAGAAAACUCUGAAGAGAAACAUCUUAUUCAAAGACUUGCUUAAUACAUGCAGGCUGCACGUAUUUAUACAUGCAUGAGAGCUGAAGCUGACAGAAGUUACAGCAACCUUUCUAACUGCUAUCAUCUUUAACUGCUAACAGACUAACUGCUAACAGACUUACAACGGUACAACGGUUUUGACUAUAUUACAACUGCUUUGACUAUAUUAACUCUAACAUUCCCUUAACAUUUCUUUGGACUUUUGAUCACUAAUUUCACUUACUGACAGCACUUGAAGAGCACGUCGAAAAGAGACAAACAGUUUAGGAGGUAUUGGUUUAGUGAGACCAUCAGCAAUCUGUUGAACAGAUGGAACAAAAUUCACUUGCAACAUUCCAGCAUGAACUUUUUCUCGAACAAAAUGAUGAUCUAUUUCCACAUGCUUCAUCCUAGCAUGAUGUGUGGGAUUUUCAGUAAUUGAAACUGCAGAAGAAUUAUCACACCAUACAAUUGGCAGCUUAGUCAAAGAAAUCCGGACUUCAUCCAGUAGUUGUUUGAUCCAUAGUAACUCAGAUACGCAAUUGGCAAGGCUACGGUAUUCUGCUUCAGCAGAUGACCUGGAUACCACAGGCUGUUUCUUUGAGCACCAGGUAAUUGGAUUUGAUCCUAAGUACACCACAUACCCCGACGUAGACCGUCGAUCUUCAAUUGAGGAGGCCCAGUCAGCAUCUGAAUAACACACCAGUUCCAACGAUCCUGCUUCAAAAUACAAACCAUGAUCCAUAGUGCCAGCCAAGUACCGUAAGACCCGUUUUACAGCUUUCCAAUGAGUGACAGUAGGAGAGCUCAUGUACUGACUCAGUUUGUUCACACAAAAUGAUAAAUCUGGUCUAGUAAUGCAGACAUAUUGAAGCAUGCCCACUGUACUACGAUACAAAUGCACAUCUGUAAAGGGAGAGCUUCCAUCUGAAACCGCCAACUUAGGAGUGACGACCAUGGGCGUUGGUGUAGAGGCUGCACCAAGCAUGCCAGUCUUGAGUAGCAGUUCAGUAAUGUACUUCUUCUGACUGAGUAACAUUCCUUGGGACGUAUGUUGAACAUCAAUUCCCAAAAAAUAACUAAGAUUUCCCAUAUCCUUAAGGGCAAACUUAUCAUGCAAACGACGAACCAUUGCAUCUAUAUCUUGACUACUGCUACCAGUGAUCACGAUGUCAUCUACAUACACCAUUAGUAGCAUGUAAUUCUCAGUAGACACCCGAAUGAACAAAGAUGAAUCUGCUUUUGAUGCAUGGAAGCCAAGCUCAGUGACAAGGUACUGUUUGAGCGUUUGAAACCAUGCUCGAGGAGCUUGACGCAAGCCAUAAAGUGCCUUAUUUAACUUACACACAAGUAAUUGACCAGAGGCAUUCAGGACUUCAAAACCAGGUGGUUGCUCCAUAUAUAUUUCCUCAGUAAGCUCGCCAUUGAGAAAAGCAUUGUUGAUAUCAACUUGACGCACAACCCACCCCUGCAUAACUGCUAAUGCAAGAAUGGUCCGAAUGGUAGAAGCUCGAACAACAGGACUAAAGGUAUCAUGAAAAUCAAACCCUGCAUGCUGAGAAAAACCUUUUGCAACUAAUCUUGCUUUGUACCUGUCAAUAGAACCAUCAGCCUUCUUUUUAAUUUUAAACAACCACUUACACCCGAUUGCCCGUCUAUUCUCAGGAAGGGAGCAGAGAGUCCAUGUAUUAUUACGACUCAAGGCUUGUAACUCACUGUGUACUGCCGUUUGCCAGCAUUCAAACUUCAUUGCAGCAUGUAUGUCAGAAGGAACAUCACUUGAAGAAGUAGACACCUCGCUCAGAUAAGCUUUUGGUUUGAAAAUGCCAACUUUACUCCUUGUGAUCAUGGAAUGAGUAUUUGUUGGGACAGAAUGAGUGGUUUGUAUUGGAAUAGGUGGUGAGGCUGAAGGUGAUAUGGAUGGAGUGGACGGUAAUUGGACUAACGUGGAAGAAGAAGGUUGUGUUGGUAUAUGUGAUAAAGCCGUAGGUAAUAUGGGUGAGGUGGAUGGUGAGUGAGCUAAUGUUGAAUAAGUGGGCUGUGAAAUAGGCAUUGUAGUUGUUGGAGUAGAUGAGACAGGUGUUGAAGAAAUAUUAGUAGAAAUGAUAUUAGGUGAGGUGUUAUGAUGAGCUAUAGGACUAGGCUUUAUGACAAACAAUUUUGAAUUUAUUUGCGAAGUGUUAGAUAUGGACGGCUUGACUAUUGAGGUAUGAGUUUUAUAGGGAAAAAUAGCUUCAUUAAAUGUGACAUGACGGCUAAUGUAAAUUUUGCCUGUAGGGUCUCUACAUUUGUAACCUUUGUGCAAGGGAGAAUAGCCAAGAAAAACACAGGGAGUGGAUCGAAAUUGUAAUUUUGUUUUGUUGAAAGGUCUCAGAUUAGGAAAGCAUAGACAACCAAACGUUCGAAGGAAAGAAUAAUUUGGCUUUGUUUUAAAAAGUUUUUCAUAUGGGGAUAUAUCACCUAAGGGUUGAGAGGGUAAUCUAUUAAUCAAGAAUAUUGCACUGCAAAAUGCUUCAUUCCAGAAUAACAAGGGCAUAGUGGCAUGAGCUAGCAUAGACAGACCGAUUUCAACUACCUGGCGAUGUUUCCGUUUGACAAGCCCAUUUUGAGCUGAUGUGUAUGGACAUGUGAGCCUCUGUAGAAUCCCAUGUUGACUCAAAUAGUUCUUCAAAACCUGAAACUCCCCUCCCCUAUCAGUUUGUAGAACUUUGAGCUUAGUACCAAGCAUCCUCUCAGCUUGAAGGUGAAACUGUGGAAAUACAGUAGCAAUAUCAGACUUAUUCUUCAAAAAAUAGAGCCAUGUGUAGCGUGAAUAAGCAUCAGUGAAUGCAACAUAGUAGCGAAAACCGUUGGAUACAACAGGAGCGGGUCCCCAGACAUCAGCCACUACUAAUUGCAAAGGUGAGGAAUACUCAGUGCAUGACUUUGAAAACGGAAGCUUGCGUUCUUUACCCAAGUGACAGGCAACACAGUCAACAAAUUUAUUACUGUCUAUAAACUGUAUAUUACACUGAAGAAGAGCUUUUGUAAGUGUUGCUUUACAUGGAUGGCCUAAUCUAGCAUGCCAAACACUAAUAGGAAGCUUUGUGCUUGUUGUAAGACAUUGAGCAGCAUGAGACAGAGUUGUAGGUGCAGGAGACUUGUUGAGUUGAAGCUUAUAUAACCCAUGAUGCACCAACCCUCGAAGAAGCACUUCUCUGGUCCUUAAAUCACACACCCGGCACUGAGUAGGCAAGAACUCAAACAUUACCUGAUUAUCUUUAGCAAACUUUGACACAGAUAAUAGAUUUUUAGUAAUUCCAGGAACAAGCAGUAAAGAUCGCAUGUACAAUGGUCGAGAUCUCGUGAUUAAUGAGGACUGCCCAGUAGAUAAAACAGGUAAUGCAGAACCAUUACCAACAAAAACCUUACCUGGUCCGUUACAUGACCCACCGUCACCAACCAAAGUAGCUGAAUUGGUGAGGUGGUGUGUUGCACCAGAGUCUGGAUACCAUGCAUUGUCAGCUAUUGUUUCAGGAGUUGCAACAUAAGCUUGAGGUGGUGUGACACCAGCAGAUGGCAUACUGACUUGUUGGGGCAUACUAACCUGUUGUGGAGAGUUACCAACAAACGGGUUAGGCCAGACAGAUGAAGGAGGAGGAAAACACCAACCUGGAGAACCCCACGGAGGACUUUGCUGAGGAUAAGAAAACCAAGGUGUAGACGGACUCCAAGGUGCGGAUGAACUAGAACCAGUCAUGCACAUAUUUGCUUGUGGAGGGGGUCUAUAGUUGCUACUCUUGUAUGAUGAGUCAAAACGAUGGUAGCAGCAGUCAACAAGAUGACCAGCCUUCCCACAAAGCUGACAUUGAAUUCUUGAGCUAGACGAACGCCCUCGCCCACGUCCUCGAACUGAAGAUGAUGGCUGAUAAGCAGGUAGUGAACCAGGAUCAUCAGAAGACUCAUUCAACACCAAGUUUGCCGAGCUGGAUACUUCAGUACUUACGACCUGCUGACGAGCCUCAGUAUCAAUAAGCAUAGAGGUUACUCCUUGUACCGUGUAGGGAAUCUGACUCGCCGUAAUAAUUGUGAUAAUCGAUUCAUAAUCUGGAGGUAGGCCAUUAAGGAUUGCAGUAAUGUGUUCAUGCUCUCCAAUGAUUUCUCCACAACUAGCAAGAUUGUCACAACAACCCUUAACCUUCAUCAAGAACUCCUUCAUGCCAAGGUCACCUUUGCGUUGAGAGUGUAACGCUCGACGAUAUGCCAUCAGUUUAGAGGUUGUUUUACUACCAAACAAAGCAACAACCGCAUUCCAAAUCUUGGCGCUAGUAUCCAUGCCAAUGAGAUGAGGAAGCACCGUCUGACUAAUAGAAGAGAGUAACCACGAAGCAAGGGCACUAUCCUGCUGUUCAAACAAUGCAAAAUCUGGAUUUUCAUACGAACCACCAUUAUCAUCGACAAGUAACGAGGGUGGCGGAGUUUCUUGAGAAUCCAAGAAGCGCUGUAAUUUAUGCGCUUUCACAGCCAAGAGAACUUGCUGGCGCCAGAGUAGAUACGUAUUAUCAUCAAGAAGAACACUAAUACGCUUUGUUGAAAAGAAACGACUGUCAAGAACUCCAUCAGAAGCACUGGAUGUCAUCUUGCCCAAUACAAAACUGCACAGUGAAAGAGAAAAAAAAAAACCAGGAAAUACUUACAUCUGAUACCAUGUGAAAUUAUAAGAAGAAAACUCUGAAGAGAAACAUCUUAUUCAAAGACUUGCUUAAUACAUGCAGGCUGCACGUAUUUAUACAUGCAUGAGAGCUGAAGCUGACAGACGUUACAGCAACCUUUCUAACUGCUAUCAUCUUUAACUGCUAACAGACUAACUGCUAACAGACUUACAACGGUACAACGGUUUUGACUAUAUUACAACUGCUUUGACUAUAUUAACUCUAACUCCAUUAUUGAGAAAAAUCAAACUAAUUGAAUGUACUCCAUAAAACUUCUUUGCAUGGUAAUAAUAUUUAUUAAACUCAAUUAUUUAUUCUUAAAUUUAAAUUAAGAUUUUACAUCAUUAUAUUAUUUUAAAAUUAUGAUUUAAUAUGCAAUUGUAUAAAUAAACUUUGAUUUUAUAUAAUUUUAUACAUAAAAUUUUAAUUUAAUUUAAUUUUUACAAAUCAUUAACACAAUUAUUAAUAUAUCAUCAUUUUAUAUUUAUAUAUUGCAUAUAUAAAUAAUUAUAUUUAUUCAAUAUAAAAAUAUUUCAAGCAUAUAUUUAAACCACAAUUAAAAUUUCAUAUAUAUAAAUAUACCAAAUUAAAAUUUAUAUAUACAAAUUACAUAUUAAAUUAAAAUUCAUAUAUAAUUUUAAAAUUUAUCCCUUAUCCCUUUUUUAACCAGACCAGAUUUGCGGUUAUGAAUUGUGUUGACUCCAUAUUAACUAAUACCAAGAAUAUCAAAGAGGUGAGAAAUCCAAUGAAUGAAAUACUAAAAAUAAAGCUAAGAAAAAAAAUGUUGGCUACCAAAAAUAUUCAUAAACUCUCAAAUUGCAAAAUAAGAUUGAUAAACCUAAAAGUAGCCUCUUAAAUUGAAAAAAAAAAGAAGAAUGAAACAAGAGCUAAUUACAGCAAGCUUUGAAAGCUUACAAGCUAAUAUCAUAUAUAUAUUAUGGAUUCAAAGAACAAAAGAAAGAUUCUACACAAUGCAUUGACUGCUAGUUUUGAUACGCAGCAAAGAGACUCCGGAUCUAUGCACUUUGUGCGGGAACUUGAUCCAUUUUACCAAAACUUUUGGCAUUCUUUGGCCUCCACUGUGUCCUCCCUCUCACAAUCUCAGACCCCUCUUCAAGUUGGAGCAAGUGCUGGCACUCAAUUUCCCCCAUAUUCCCGAGGUUGCCCACACCAGACACCGCAGUUAGCGACUGCAGCACGCUGUCCCUCCCACAUUCCCUCCUAUACUCCAGUGUCAUGGAACAAAGCUCAUGACUCUCCACAAUUCCCAAUGGUGUACUCUGCAAUCACAAUGCAUGCAACAUAAAACAGAACUCAAAAUCGCAUAUCAGCUUCCUAGACCAUUAAACCAUAAGCAGAUAAGAUCACAGGUAAGAUUAAUGAAUUAAGGUAUCUGAAAUAACCUGGUUAUUUAUUUUAUUCAAAUGUUUAUCAUGGGCGAAGAAACAGAACGAAAUAUGUACAAUCAUCAAGUGUUACUAGAGUGAACCUUACCUCAAGGAUCCAACCAACGUACUUCACAUUGUUGACAUGCUGAUUCACAUCCAGGUCGUUCCAUCGAGGCUGCAAAUUAAAAAUUAAGAAAUGCAACAAUUGAAUAGAUAGGAAGUUUACAAAUGGACACAGCUACAACUAUACUGAAGAAAGAGAUGGGGCAACCAGUGGUUACAGUUAAACCCUUGCGCACAUAUUGGGCUGUGCUGUCGUCAAGUUUCACUAAUUUCCGGUCAUCCUCAGCCACCACUGGAUCUGAAUUCAUAAAAUGAGGUUCUAUUUCUCCUCGGACCUCUUCUGGAAUUUUAGAUAACCUUCUGGUCAGUUUAUUCAUCAUCACCCACACACUGUAGGUUGGCAAAAUCAAAAAUCAAACAGAAAACCAGGAUAAAUCUCUCCCGAAACACCAUUCAAUAAAGUACAAGCACACAUAACAUAACAAGAACAGUAACUUUGUUUCCUGGACAACCAAAAUAUUGACUCAUUUAUCUAUUCGAAACAUUUUAAAUACUUGUGUCAUAAACCAAAAGCAUUGGUCAUAGACUGAAGUCUCUAUUUCAGAUUUUUUCUUUCUUUUAUGAUUUUUAAUUUUUCUGAUUAAAGGAAAAAAAAAUAAGAAUAAUGAAUAAAGUGAAAAUAAAGUAAAUAAGAAAAAGAAACAAAAUAAUGAAUAUAAAAAUGGAAUGGAUAUGGCCCAAAUCAAGUCACUGCCCAAAACCAACAAUUGGGCCUAAAAUCAAAUUCAAAGUCCAAAAAGUUAAAAUAAGGCUCAUUAUCAAAUUCAAAAUUCAAGGGCUAGGGUCGAUUUAAAAUAUAUUAUACACAAAUUUGAAUCCUAGCCUUAAUCAGUAUUUUAUCUAUAUUAAGAUAUCUAAAAUGAAAUUAAUUUAACACUCAAAACACCUUGAAAGACCCACAGCUUGGAAACAAAUAUUUUUUCUUGGGAUUUUGGGCUAUUCCAAAUUUUCUUAUAAGAACAAAAUCAUGGCAGAACAUCAUACCAUGAGAUAGUUCAACUGAAUGAGAUCCUUUCAUACUGGUGUCUGAAGAUCAUCUCAUCAUUUGAAUAAAGAUAAGCAAAAAAUAACAACCAUAACCACAAGAAGCGACUUCAUAAACAAUGCCCUACCUUGAGGCUCUAGUUAAAAUUUCACCAGUUUUACUAUUGCUGACAAGCCAAUCCCUUCGCAUGCCAUUCUUUCCUGAUGCACUGACCCAAGUGUCUACUUGAACAACAUCACCCCUAGAAGACAUAUAUAUAGGUACAAUGUUCAUUAGUAUCAAAUUGGUAAAAUUCAAGCCAAAUUACAUGCCUCAAUGACAUCACAAUGUGCACCGUAUCAGCAUGUUUUCUUGAUGAUACACAUAUAAAACUACAACCAUACAGAUGAAACAAAGGUGGCUUAUCAUGUGUAUAUCUUGUCGCUAAAGGAGCAAACCAUGAACACAAAAGUAUAAUUUACCAAGUUGGAUAACGAUCAACCACAACUUGCAUCCGAGUGACUACCCAUAUUAGGUUUUUCUUGCACAUCCCAGGGGUAGCACCAAAACCAUCUCCUAGCAGUCCAGCACUUUUACAAUGAUUAAUCGCUGUUUCCUGCAGAAAAGAAGUAUUAAUCAAAAAUCAAGCUUAGGGCACAAGUAAUACUAAGCAAAAAGCUAUAUGUGAACCUGCAAAUUUUAGUUCCUGAUUCAUUGCUCAAACAUUCUAGCCAAUAACUAUAGCACACCUGUAAAUGAUUCAUUAGUGUCUCUAUGGAUGCUGUACGAUCAGCACCUAUCUCAUAAGACCUAAUUGAGAAGUUCUGACGAAAAACAAGACCAUCCUGAACAAUCCUCCCUAUCCCAAAUGGGUCAAUGAGCAUGUCAGGCCGCCUUGGCUUCCAAUCAAGCAUCAUCCACUGCUUCUCAGCAGCCAGGAAAAUGGUUGUGAUAGCAGCAAGAAGCAUGCUCCAAUCAGGGAGCUGAUUGAUAAACGUCCUGGGAGGUGUGGAACUUGCAGCAUCUUCGCUCGUGAAACCUUCUACUGGAGUCAUCACAACCGUGGUACCAUUUAUCUUUGGGGGGGCUUGUGCAUUUGCCAUAACUUGCAAACUUCCAGAAGAAGCAGAUGGUUUCAACUUUAUACCUCCAAGGUUAGUAGAUCCAUUUCCAAGCUUCUUGUUUUUUGAGUCAAUGGAGUCCGGGGAAGAAGUGAUUGGAAAGAAUGAGGAUGUAGCAGCAGUGGCAACCAUAAUUUUAUAAAUUAAAAUGAACUUCUGUUAUCCGCUGAAAUUCCCUCUUUCCGAUACUGCAAUGUAUCACAUAUAGUAAGAAUCAGAUUAUUUCAAAAAGAUGAACUAAAAAACUUGGAUAAUCACAAAAUCCUUAAAUUUUGGCUAUAAUGAAGGCACAUUCAAAACUUCAAUUCUUUCCGUGAAAAGGAAGGAAAUUCUAAAAUGGUAAAGGAUUCCUUCUUCUUCAUUUAAAAAGAAAAAGCAUCCUAUUAAAUUUCUAUAUAAUCUAGCCAAAAUAAAUAUUAUCAAUCAAAGAAAUUCUUCAUUUCUGAAAACCUAGUGAAAAGAGAUGGAAGAUAAAGGACUUACCAGAUACUCAAAAGGAACAAUUCUCUUACAAUUUAAAUAAUAAUAAUAAUAAACCUGGAAUUUAACAGUGGGCGUCACGGUAAAUAUGCCACAAAGAUUCCUAACCAUCGACGACGAAAAUAUACUACAAAAUGUAAGCGGAAUCGCUAUGAAACAAAAAACACCAAAGCAGAUCUCAGACGUAAAAUCGCUAUGAAACAAAAAACACCAAAGCAGAUCUCAGACGUAAAAAGGUUUAAACAAGAAAAGGCCAAAAUUUUUUUGAGGAAAAGACAGAGAAAGUAGCAGUGCGUAUACGAUUUCCUAUCCAUUACAAUGUAGCACGGAACAUCGUCUUCUUUUUCAUUUCUCAUUUCGCCCCUCCAUUUCAUAAGAAAAUUACAACCAAAAAACAUAAUAUGGAAUGGCGAUGAGAAAAUAGAUAAACGAAAAAAGAAGAAUUGAUUUUUAGCAACAUUUGGUUACUGAGAAAUGUGAAAAAAAAAUAGAUCUUCCACCGCCAUCACUGGAUGCAACACACAAAAUCUUUUCCUUUUUAACUAUAAAGAAAAAAAAGGCACUUUUCAUUUCCUUUCCUUCCUCGGCAACCAAACAGAAGAGCAACAUUUCAACGAGAAUGCGCAGAUCAGACAGAAAAAAGGAGAAAUUAAAAUUAAGUUUAAACAAAAACAGUAAACUAAAAAUUCACAUGUAUACCUCAACCAAAAUAAAAAAGGGAAAUGUAGUGGAGAAAAAACGCAAAAUGGAGAAAGUAGUGCGUUACAUAGGGAUCUAUAAACUCUUCUCGGUAACUUCUAGCGCUUGCGAUCUACCAUUACUUUUCCUUCAUCUCUUCUUCGCUGCCUCUCUCCCUCUUUUGUUCCGGCUUUUUUAAAAGAAAUUUAUAAUUUUGAAACCUCGUUCCGAGUUUAGUAUGAUAAUAAAAUAGUGAAAAGAAAUUCUUUUAGUUUGCACAAAGAGAUUGUGGAAUUUAGGGCCAGCGGUGACUACUUUUUUCUUUUUGGUACACCUGUCCCUACUGCCUCUCACUUAUUUUCCAAUUUUAUCACCUUUAUUUUCUCUUAUUUACUCUCUUGCCAUUAUCUAGAAUCUUCGUUUGCUUGUGUUAUUAAUAAUGACAAAAAUAAUACACUUGUUAUGAAUAUUUUAUUAAAUUUUGAUGUAUUUUAAAAUUUAAUAAUAAUUAAAAAUAUAGUUUUCUUUUAUUUGUAUUUCUUAAGUCUAUAUUUAGAGAAAUAUUGUAAAUAUUUUCAUUAAGUAAUAAAAUAUGUUUUCUUUUUUAUUCUUUUAUUUUUUUUGUUCUUUAUUUUUUGUCUUUUUACUUUAUAAUAGCACAGAUAAUAUAUUUUAAAACUAAUUUUCUAUUCCACUCGUGUAUUUUAUAAAAUUUUUAUUAUUUGAAUAAUAAUAUUUUAAUUAAAAUAAUUCACAAAAUAAUAUUUAAAAUAUAUAAAUAAAUUUAAAAAAUAUAUUCAAGGUUUUUUAUAAUAUAAAUAUUUAUAAUAUUAUGAAUAUAAUUUAUACGAGAAAAAAAAAGAUAAAAUUGUUAUAAUAAAUAUAAUUAAUGGCUUGGAAUCUUAAUGUAUAUAUGAUAUAGAUAAAUUUAAAAAUUAAGUUUUAAACCAUUCUUAAUUUUAAAAUAAUUUUAUUUUUUUUCAAUUUCAAAUUAAAAAUAAAUUAUUAAAUAAUUUUUAAUUUUAAAAAUAAUGUAUAUCCAAUACAAUUACAAGAGCUCGAAUUUAUAAGUAUUUAAAAUAUUUGCUAGAUAUUAACAUUAUUUAAAUUGUAAAUCUCUUACUCUAAUAUUUGUAGUAUUAAUUUUAUUGUAGAAAAAGAAAGCAGCCGAAGGAAGAUGAUGAAAUUACCUAAUUAAUUUCAAUAAACCAUAUCUACUUCUAUAUUUAAAAACUUUUGGAAUUGUCUUCUCCAAAUACAAUUUAUCUUAUUACAAUUGGGAAACAUAACAAUUAAAAAACAUAAUUUAUAUUUUUAUUAGAAAUAAAGAUUUCAUUUUUAACUAAUAAGAAUAGGAUAAUCUCUUAAAUUUUAUUAAUGAAUCUCAAGGGUGUAUACAUAUAUAUAUACACAAUAACAGUUACGUAAGAAUCAAGUUACUAAAAGAUAAUAUCCCAUAAUAAUAUCUUAUAACAUCUCAUUAAGAAUCAAAUUAUUAAAAAAUAAUAUCCCAUUAUAAUAUUCUAAACAUUAACCUACUAAGAAAACGAAAACAAAAAUAAAUCACUAUUUUAUAUUGAAUUAUGCAAUAAUUUAAUAUUAAAAUUAAAUAUUAAUAACAAAUAAAUAAUUGCUACUUUAAUAAGUUAAUAAAAAAUUAUCAUAUCAAUGGCUACUAGAGCAACAUGAUUCUCUUCCUUAAAAAACUUAAUAGUAGCCUUUAAAAAAUUGAUUUUAGCUAAAGAAAAAAAGAUUCAGGUGAUUUUUGGCUUAAGAAGUCGAUAAUAGUGGGAGGACUUUUGAAGUUAAAUUAGUUUCGAGACAAAAACCACUUGUCUCCAGAUAUUCAAACAUCGAAGCUAAGUUAAAAAAUAGAGGAGGUUGAUCUCGAGACCCAAUCUCGAGACAUAAGAGAUCAUGCCUCUAGACACAAUUUUUAAUGUCUCGAGAUAAUCUAACUUCGAAACAGAAAAACCUAAAAUAAAUUGAAGUCUGGCUCGAGACACAAAACCUCUUAUCUUGAGACACAACAUUGAAAUUUGAUAAUUAAGUUUGGAUUCAAAUUCCCACUUUUAAAUUGGCUUAGUAUCACCUCAUAAUUCAAUGAUUUAGAUUAUUGCACUCUAUGAAUGUAAGUUUGUGAUUGAAAUGACUAAUCGCUUUGAUAUGAAUGAUAAUUGUGCUCUAAAUGAUGUGAUGAAAGAAGUAAGUUAGCUUGAAUUGUUUCGGCAAUGUAAUGUGACAUCGUACAUUCGGAUUUGGUGACCGGGUCAAGUGUGGGGUGUUACAUUUAGUUAUCAUAUAGACAUAGUAAAAAUAAAUUUAUUACAGAAGUCAACACCUAUAAGCAUCGAUAUUAACUAAAUACAUUUAUUAGGAUUAAAUUUAUGGUAAAUGAUAAAAAAAAUUAAAUAAAACUAAACUUGACAUCUAUAGGUAUCAAGCUUCAUUGAAGGGAUUUAUUAAGCUUAUACUUACAGUAAAUGGUGAAAAUUCAAUUAAGAUCAAAUUCAACACAUAUUGGUGUCAAGCUCUAUUGGAAGCAUUUAUUAGGGUUAGAUUUAUAGUAAAAAGAUUUAUAGUAAAAAGUGAAAAAUCAUAAUCAAAGAACUCGACAACUAAAGAUGUCGAGCUUCUUUUCAAUUAAUAUAUGAGUUGUCAGCUUCCACACCAUUCAAUUUUAAUUUUUUAAAGGCAUGUAACAUACAUAACCGUCUCCAUCACCAGAUUAGGGUUACAGAGUACUAUCGUACAAUUCAGAACAAUCAAUAAUAGAUAGCAUCAAGUUUACCAAAUUAAUUAACAAAUGUUCAUAAAUAAUUAAGAUCGAAGUAAAACAUACUCUUAUAGGUCUUAAUCGAGCCUUCAAGGCCCUAAAAAUAGUUUAAGAACAAUCAGAGACCAAUUCGAAACAAAUCAAAAAGUUUAGAGAAAAAACUAAAAAUUUUCAAAAUAAAGGUCACACAGCCAUGUGGCCAAGUCGUGUGACAUAGCUCAAGCCGAGUGGCAUUCGAAAUACACUCACACUGCCGUAUUGUAGGCCGUGUGAUAGACCGUGUUCAAUUCGAUGUUGGGUCACACGGCCGUGCCGCAGGCCGUGUGUCAGCCUGUGCAAAAUAUGCACUUAAUACUUUCAGGCACAUGCCCGUGUGACAACCCAUGCCCCAAGUCGUGUGUGUAACACUCGUAACCCGUAUCCAUCGCCGGAAUAGGGCUAUGAGGUAUUACCGAUCAAAUACAGCAUACAACAUACAUUUCUCAUACAUGAAUCCAUUAUCACAUAAACAUUAAUCAAACAUAAUCACAAUUUCCCUUAUAAGGCUCUACGAAACUUUAAAACAUGCUUGGAAGAGGUUCAGGACUAAACUGAUAACAUUCGAAAACUUUAGGAAACUUAGAAAAUUUUCAUGCAUAAAAGGAUCACACGCCCAUGUGAACAGGCCGUGUGCAUCACACGGCCACCGGGCACGCUUGUGUCAUAGGCCGUGUGAAAAUAGGGCAUACAUAUUGACUUGUACCACACGGCUUGAGACACGCCCGUAUGUCAUGGACGUGGGAAAACUGGAGGGUAUACUGACAUGGGUCACACGGCCGGCCACACACCCAUGUGCCAGCCCUUGUGUCACACACGGCCAGUAGACACGCCCGUGUGUCUAAGCCAUGUAACUCUUUAACUUGUUUUAACUAGGAUUCAAGGGUCACAAGGUCGAUUCACACACCCGUGUGCUCAACCUUGUGGCACAAUAAGCUUGAUUUAAGCCAUUAUUCCCACCUGUCAUUCAUGUACCUAAAAACAUUCAUUUGACAUCAUUUUCACAUAAAAUAGGAAACCAAAAAUGAAAAUUUCAUGCACAUUUUAUGCAAUUUAAAAUCCAUCCAUUUCACUACUCAAAUCCACAACCAGAAUCAUGCCAAAACAAUAUGCCAUAACAUUAAAUUCUAUAUGCAUUUUCUCACCAUCUUAUUAACUAUUACAUACCACAAAAUAUACCAAUUCAUCAUGUUAAAACUAAGCCACAACAUGCCAUUUCUCAACCAUGAUAUAUCAUUGAUAAUUAACCAAAUCAAUUAUCCAUCUAGCCAAAUCAAUUAUCCAUCUAGCCAAUAAAUGAACCAUAUAAAACUUACCAAAACAUAAGGCAUUAUAUGUAUCAUAUAUCACUUAUCAAACUUAUAAAUUAAGCCAACUUAUAUGGCCAAAUACACAUCAAUAUUUACAAGCCAAAUCUCAUGGCUAAAAUUAUAACUCAAUACAUAUCACCAUAUCACUAGCCUAUACAUGCCAUAUACCAUAUUUACAAAGCAUCCAAAAAUAACAACAAGUAGUCGAUAGUGUGAUGAUGGUUCCUAAUGAUCCCCGAUGUCUGAGCUAGCUUCGAUAAUCUAUAAAACGAGGAAAAAACACACAAAGUAAGCUUUAAAAGCUUAGUAAGCCAUAUACAAAUAAAACUAUCUCAUGAAUCAACAUCAUUUCCAUCAAGUAAGCAAAUUAUGAAUAAGUACAUAUAAUCUUAGAAACGUUCCCAAAUGUAUACAUAUUCAACUUCAUAAGUGAAUUCAUCAAAUACUUCCCUUUUCAAUACUUGUAUGAAUCCUAUACGUACCUGAGUUGCUUAACUAAUUUACACAUUCUUACUCGACUUGACUUUACCCGUUGAACCUUUUGAAAUCAUUAAGGAUACUAGGAAAUCACAUAUAUCUCGUACAAUGCCAUAUCUCAUAUAUGGUCUUACAUGUUACCACAUAUCGAUGCCAAUGUCCCAGACAUGGUCUUGCACGUAAUCACAAUACAAUGCCAAUAUUCCAGACAUGGCCUUACAUGUAAUCACAUCUCGGCAAUCCUAAUGUCAUGACAUUCGUAUCCUAUACUAUUCUUAGGGUUCUUACGGGACUUUCGAUUAACAUAACUUUGUCGAUACUUAGUUGUAUUUGCUCGUUCAACAUUCAUAGAAAUUCAAUGAUAAAUGAACAUUUAUAAAUCAAUUUAAAGGUAUUUAUUUGCAUAUGAACUUACCUCGUAGUCGAAAUAGAGGGACUGGAUUGACUAUUCAAUAAUAUUUGAUUUUCCCCGAUUUAAAUCUGAUUUCUUUCUUUCUUGAUCUAUGCACAUUCAAAAUUAACUCAUUUAUUCAUCAAAUCAUUCAAUUUAGUCCAUAAAAACAUAUUUGAGCAUUUUUACACUUUAGACCUAAAGUUACAUAUUUUUACAAUUUAGUCCUUACUUAAUAAAUACACAAAAUUCACUCAAUUCAAUUUAACCCAUGCUUGGCUGAAUUACCAUAGUGCCCCUAGUAGCGAUCUCAAAAACAUAGAAAUCAUCAAAAAAUGAAUUCUAGAUUUUUACAAUUUAGUCCUUACUUAAUAAAUUAGGGCAUGGGCUAGCUAGUACUCGAAGCAAUGAUAUCAAAAACAUAAAAAUCAUCAAAAACCGAACAAAUUUCAUACCUCAAUCAAGAUGAACAAGGGCUGAAUGGAUGAUAGCAUCAAAACCUUAUUCUUUCUCUAAUAUUCGGUGGUGGAAGAACACAAUAUGAUGAAUCAAAUUUUGUUUAUUUGUUUUAAUUAACCUUAAUUUCACAUUUACUAAAAUACCAUUAAUGCUUAAUAUUAAAUUUCCACUAACUAAAGGCAUAUUUGUCCAUCCAUAAAUCAAAUGGUCUAAUUUCAUCAUAAGGACCCCACAUUUAAUGGAUCAUAGCAAUUUAAGCACUUUAAAAAUUAAAAUGCAACUUUUGCAUUUUACGCAAUUUAGUCCUUUUUUCUCAAAUUAAGCUAUUAAACGAUAAAAUUAGCUCACGAAAUUUUCACACAUAUAUAUUCACAUGCUGUAAACACAAAAUAAUAUUAAAAUAAUUUUUUGACCCGAAAUUGUUUCGAUUUAAGCUAAAACCGGCCUGUUACAACUUUCCCCCUUAGGAAUUUUCGUCCCCGAAAAUCUUAUCAGUGAACAGUUUUGGAUAUUGCUUUCUCAUAGCAUCCUCGAGUUCCCACGUAGCUUCUUCAACCGCGUAGUGGAUGCCAUAAUACUUUCACUAAUGCUAUUCUUUUAUUUCUUAACUCUUUGAUCUCACGAGCCAAAAUUCAGAUUGGUUCUCCACUAUAUGAUAAGUUUGGUUGAAUCUCAACCUCAGUCGGGGAAAUAACAUGUGAAGGAUCGGAUCGAUAUCUUCGUAGCAUCGAUACAUGAAACACAUUAUGUAUCUUCUCUAAUUCAGACGGUAAAGAUAGACAAUAAGCAAUUGGCCCAAUUUGCUCGAUAAUCUCAUAUGGUUCAAUGAAUCGCGGACUCAAUUUUCCUUUCCGACCAAACCGUAAUAUCUUUUUUCACUGCGACACUUUCAGAAACACUUUAUCCCCGAUCUGAAACUCAAUAUCUUUUCGUUUUAAGUCUGCAUAAAAUUUCUGUCGAUCCGAAGUUGCUUUCAAACUAUCGCGAAUUAUUUUCACUUUCUCUUCUGUUUCUCUGACCAGAUCAACCCCGUGAAUCUUAUUCUCACUAAGGUCACUCCAAUACAAUGGUGUUCAGCAUUUACGACUGUAUAGAGCUUCAUAUAGUGUUAUCUUUAUACUCGAUUGAAAGCUAUUAUUGUAAGAAAAUUCAAUCAACGAUAAAUAUUUCUCCCAGCUACCUUUAAACUCAAGAAUGCGACAUCGUAACAUAUCCUCAAGUAUUUGUAUAAUUCGUUCGAAUUGACCAUCUGUCUGCAGGUGAAAUGCGAUACUAAAAUGUAUAUUUUUGCCCAAUGCGUCUUGCUGUUUCUUUCAAAACCGCGAUGUAAGCCUCGAAUCUCGAUCUGAAACAAUGGAAAUAGGUACCCCGUGUAAUAUCACAACCUCGGAGACAUAUAACUCAACUAACUUAUCAAGCGAGAAAUCUGUACAUACAGGGUAAAAUGAGCUAAUUUCAUCAAUUUGUCAACAACGACCCAGAUCUUAUCUUUCUUUCUCGGAGAUAAGGCAAACCAAUACAAAAUCCAUAGUCACUUUAUCCCAUUUACACUCAGAAAUCAUGAUAGGCUGUAAUAAACUUGACGGUACUUGAUGCUUAACUUUGACGUGCUGAAAAAUCAAACAUUUCAAAACAAAUUCUGAGAUAUCUCGUUUCAUGCCAUGCCACCAAUAAAACUGUUUCAAAUCAUUAUACAUUUUCGUACUUCCCGAGUGUACUGAUCAACAACUACUAUGUGCUUCGUUCAAAAUCAUCUGAAUCAACUCUGAAUUCCUCAGAACAUAUAUUCAGUCCUUGAAUUUUAAACAAUCAUCGGAAUUAACUUGAAACUCUGAAUCAGGAUUCAACUCACACUGAACUCGUUUUGCUUGUAGUUCAUUUUCAAACUUUUGAGAUUCACAAAUCUGUUGUAUAAACAACGGUCUCGCUUUCAACUCAGUUACUAACAAACCAUCGUCAGACAAAGCCAAAUAUAUGUUCAAAGCAUACAAAGCAAACAGGGACUUUCGGCUCAAAGCAUCAACAACUAUGUUCGCUUUCCCUAAAUGGUAGUCAAUUACUAAGUCAUAGUCUUUUAACAAUUCUAACCAUCUCCGUUGUCGCAAAUUCAAAUAUUUCAAGCUUUUGUGAUCGGUAUAAAUAUGGCAUUUCUUACCAAACAAAUACUGGCGCCAAAUUUUCAACGCGAACACAAUAGCUGCUAACUCUAAAUCGUGCGUCGUGUUAUUCUUUCCAUACGAUUUCAACUAUCUCAAAGCAUAAGCUAUAACUUUUCCUUCCUGCAUCAAAACACAACCCAGACCAUUCAAUGAUACAUCACUGAACACUAUAAAUUCUUUACCCGAUUCAGGCUGAACUAACACUAGAGCUUCAGUCAAUAAUACUUUCAACUGUUCAAAACUCUGCUGAUACUUUUCUGACCACUCAAAUUUAACAUCUUUUUUAAGCAAAUCAUGUCAUCAGAGUCACAAUUAUCAAAAAGUCUUUCACAAAUCGUCUAUAAUAACCCGCUAGUCCCAGAAAACUACGAAGCUCAGAAACAUUUCUCGGAGGCUUCCAAUCUAUAAUUGCAUAUAUCUUACUCGGAUUAACCCAGAUACCAUUAGCUGAAACAAUGUCCCAGAAAACUAACCUCUCAUAGCCAAAACUCACAUUUGCUGAAUUUUGCAUACAACUGCUUAUCUCUCAAAGUUGGUAUCACGAUUCUCAAAUGCUCGGCAUGUUUAGAUUCAUCACGAGAGUAAAUUAAAAUGUCAUCAAUAAAUACAACGACAUAUCAGUCUAAAUACUGCUUAAAAAUUUGGUUCAUUAAGUCCAUAAAGAUAACAGGUCUAUUCGUUAGUCCGAAAGGCAUAACUAAAAAUUCAUAAUGUCCGUACCUCGUUCUAAAAGCAGUCAUUGACACAUCAGAGUCUUUAACUCGCAACUGGUAAUAACUCGAUCUCAAAUCGAUUUUCAAAAACACUGUUGCCCUUUUUAAUUGAUCAAACAAAUCAUCAAUCCGUGGUAGAGGGUAUUUGUUCCUUAUAGUCACUUUAUUCAGUUGUCUGUAGUCAAUACACAUUAUCAUCGUGCCAUAUUUCUUUUUCACAAACAAUACCGGUGCACCCCAAGGAGAGAAACUCGGUCUAGUAAAACCUCUAUCUGUCAGUUCUUGCAACUGAGUUUUCAAUUCUUUUAACUCUGUUGGAGCCAUUCUGUAUAGAGCUAUCGAUAAUAGUGUUGUACCAGGUAUAAAUUCUAUACCAAACUCAACCUUUUAGAUCAGUGGUAAACUCGAUAACUCUUCAGGAAACACAUCCGAAUACUCACACACAACUGGCACUAAUUCGAUCUUCUUUUUAGUCACUUUAAUAUCAAACACAUAAGCAAAAUAAGCUUCACAACCCUUUCUCACAUAUUUCUGAGCUAACAUCGAUGAAAUCACAGCUGGUAAAUCAUUCAAAUCAUUUGACUCAAUCCGGAUAAUCUCAUUAUUCUGAUAUCUUAGAUCAGUUGUCUUUCGUUUACAAUUUAUUAUAGCAUCAUGUAACGUUAGCCAAUCCAUACCUAGAAUUAUAUCAAAUUCAUCAAAUGGUAACAACAUCAGAUCAGCCGGAAAACAAAAAUCUCGAAUCAUCAAUGGACAGUUUCUGCACACUUUAUCAAUCAAGACACACUUGCAUAAAAGGGUUCGGUACUCUAAUCACAAAUUCAGUAGACUCUACAGGAAAAGUCUUACUGGAUACUAAAUUCACACAUAUAUACGAAUGAAUUGGUCCUGGAUCUAUCAAUGCAAUCAAAUUAGUAUCAUAGAGAGUAAAAAUUACCAGUAAUAACAUUUGGAGAGGAUGCUUAUUCGCGAGCGCGAAUAGCGUAGGCUCGUGCAGGUGCUCUAGCAUCUAACCUCAUAGCAAAAUCUUUAGUCGCUCUUUGGCUACCACUCAAAUUUCUCAUGUUUCUGGGUAGUCUACCUCUAACUGCAGUGUUACUCGGCCUCGUGUUUUAUACUGUAUCUUACUCAACCAACUCAAGACAGUUACGAAUGAAAUGAUCUAACAAUCCACAUUUAAAACAGACCCGAUCAUUCAAUCUAAAAUUAUUGAUAUGCCAUUUUCGACACUUUCUACAUUCAGGUUUAUUUGGUUUCACACUCCCGACACUAGCUAUCGAGAUAGCCGGAGCUUUAAAGCUUGAAUGUUGUCUUUCACGAUCUCUGUUUGAAUGUCCAACUGAUGUAUUUGAAUGAUUAAACAAGUCUCAAAAUUUCUUUGAUGCAGACUAUAAGAUUUACUAGUUGAUCUCUUUCUCAAAUCUCUUGCUUCAAAAUUAGCUUUUCUUUUUUCUUUACUAAGAUCUUCAACUUUAUAGGCUCUUUCAACCAAAACAACGAAUUCUUUCAAUUCAAGAAUCCCGACUAACAGUUUUAUAUCCUCGUUCAGUCCAUUAACGAACCGUUUACAUAUGAUCUUCUCAGUAGAUACAUAUUCUCAAGCAUACUUGCUUAAACAUACGAAUUAUCUUUCGUACUCAAUGACAGUCAUCCGACCUUGUUUCAAUUCUAGAAACACUUUGUACUUCUGAUCGAGAAAUCACUGACUUAUGUACUUCUUUUAAAACUCAGAUUGAAAGAACUCUCAGGUAACCCGUCCUCUUAGAACUAAAAAUAUCAACGUUUUUCACCAAUGGUACGCAUUAUCUCUCAGCAAAGAUACAACACAUUUGAUACACUCAUCAGGAGUACAAGAUAAUUCAUCAAAUACCCGUAUUGUGUUCUCAAGCCAGAACUCAGCUCUCUCAACAUCAUCAUCAAUAGUAGCCCAGAACUCCUCAGCUCCAUAUUUUUUAAUCUUAUCCACUGACGGCUUGUUCAACUGUGUCAAAUCUAUAACUUGAGGAAUAGUAGGGUUUUGUUGAGGAACAGGUAAGGUGAAUUUGUUGAGCAGCCGGAUUAGUUUGAACGAACUCCAUGAACCACUUACUCAUCAUAUGGAAAAAGGUUUGUUUAACCUCUCACUCGUGGCUACUCAAAAUUGACCUAGAAUCAGCCGGUGCUAUCCUUUAAGCGGGAGUGGGCGCAUUACUUUCCACAUCCUUAGCUAAAGCUCUUUCGAGAUCCAAUUACUAUAUAAAAACACACUUUAAGCUGUCAGGAAUCAUCACACAAUCGCAGUUUAUAUAUAUGACAUGUAUAGCUAGACUCUCACAUGCUACGUUAGUCCUAGAAUUGACUAAAUCGUAGCUCUAAUACCAAUAAAUGUAACACCCCUAACCUGUAUUCGUCGCCGAAAUAGGGCUACGAAGCAUUACUGAUCAAAUACAGCAUACAACAUACAUUUAUCAUACAUGAAUCCAUUAUCACAUAAACAUUAAUAAAAAAUAAUCACAAUUUCCCUUAUAAGGCUCUACGAGACCUUAAAACAUGCUUGGAAGAGGUUCGGGACUAAAUCGAUAACAUUUGACAACUUUAAGAAACUUAGAAAAUUUUCAUGCAUAAAGGGAUCACACACCAGUAUGUGCCCAAAAAUGACCAUUGUUCCAAUUUAAGCCAUUGUUCCAAUUUGUGGUCUCGAAAUCAUUGUUCCAAUUUAAGCUAAAACUGGGUUGUUACAGUAUGUGCCCAAAAAUGACCCAAAACACUCAUUUCAUAUCCAAAUGCUUUCAUACCUAAAUCAAAUUUCAACAAAAGAGUAUAAGACCUGAAAAAUGCAUUUCAAUGACACUCAAAGCAUGUUAAGACAAUCAACCUAAAACCUAACCAAUAUAUCAUCAAUGGCACCACGAUACAACACUUACCCAAUUCAUUUCCUUAACUACAUAUAGAAACCACAAACAUGCUUCUAAUGACCUAUAAUGAAUCUCAAAAUGUCAUACUUAACUCAAGCCAAUCUUAUUAUAUCACAUUCUGUAAUGACCCAAAAUUCACGGGCACUGAAAAAGUGAGUUAUAGGGCCUUCGUCUUAGUGAAAUAAGUUCGAAAAUAAUUAUUAAAAAUAUUUAUAAGCCUAGUGGUGUAUCUAAUUAGGUUUUAAUUAGGUGAAUUUAGCUUAAUUUAGAGUAAUUAGUAAAAAGGACUAAAUUGAAUAAGAGAUAAAAAUUGAAUUAUAGAUUAAAAGAAAGUAUAAAGGGCCAAAAUGGUAAUUAAGCCAAUUCUUAAAUAUAAGGCGGCAUAAGUUGAUUGAAUUGAAGAUAUUACAUAAUAUUUAAUUAAAAACUAUUAAGGUUUAAUAUUAAAUAAUAAUAAUUAUUAUUAUAUUAUGAAAUAAGUUAAAUAAAGACAAAUGAAUGGUAGUGAUUUAAUACAAGUGUAUUAAUAGAAACAUAUAUAUUUGUGAUAUUUUAUUUAAUUAGUAAAAGAUAUUUAUUAGAUAAAAUAAUUAAAUUGUGAGAUUUUUUGAGUAAUGAACAAAUUAGAUAGUGACAUUUGUAAUAAUGUAAAUAUAUACAUUUGUAUUACAUUUAUUUAUUUACUUGAAAAUUUAAGUAAAAGAUAAUUACUAAUUAAAUAAUUAUAUUAGGAGAUUUUUAUUAGUAAAUAAAUUGAAAGUAUGACAAUUGUAUGGUAUUGAUAUUGUACAAAUGUACAAAAAUAUAUGUGUACAAUUGUAGUAUUUAUACUUGUUAUUAAAAUAAAUUAUAAUUUAUAUUAAUAAUAUUAUAAGAUUUUUGUAUAAUAAAUAAAUAAAAGAAAGACAAAUGGAUGGUCAUGAUAAUAUACAAAUGUAAAAAUAUUUAUGAGUGUACAUUUGUUAUAUAUAUAUUUGUGUAUUAAAUAGAUAUUUAUUAUAUUUGUUAUUAUUAUUUAAUUAAUUAACACUAUAUUAUUACAUUAAUGAAUAAAUUAAUAAAUUGACAAAUGUAAGGUGAUAGUAAAAUACAAGUGUAAUAAAUCAUAUACAUACAAUUAUAAUAUAUUUAUUUAUUUACUUAUUAUUUAAUAAAUAAUAAUAUUUAUUAAGUUAAUAUAAUAAAAUAAUAAACAAAGGUAAAAUAAAAAGAAACAAAGUAAAAGAAACAGAGAAGUUAUUUCGAAAUAGGAUAAAAUAAAAAACUAGGGUUUUAAGGUUUGAAGCUUUAAAAGGUAAGUCAAUUAAGUCAUUUUCUCUUAAUUUUGAUGUUUUAAAAGCUUUAGAACAAAGUUUUGAUGAAAUUAAGUUGAAGUUUUGAAAGUUCUUAAGUUUUUGAACAUAGUUCAUGUUGAACAAAAUAAUGAAUUAGGGAUUUAAUUGAAUGAAUUUUAAGUUAGAAUUGAUUAAAGGAUUAAAUUGUAAAUUAGGCUAUAAGUUUUGUGUUGUAGGGAAUAAAUUGAAAGAAGUUUUAAAUUAGAGUUUUAUUAUGAACAUUAGAUAGUUAAGUAGAAUAUGGAAGGAAAUUGAAUAGAAAUAAAGUAUGAAUUGAGUUAGAAAAGUAGAUGAGUUAAUUAGGAUUAAAUUGGAAUUAGGGUAUAAAUUGGAUAGAAAUUCAGUUAUUAUUAUUUUUAAUUAAUGCUGUAAUUAAUAGUGUAAAUUAUUAUUAUUAUUUUCGUAGCUAACAAAGAACCCAAAGUAUUGGCACGAAAAGGAAAGGAGAAAGUUAUCGAGGAGUAAUCGCGAAAUCCGGGUUUGUAUUACUAUAAUUCAAGUUAUUUAUUAUUAAGUAUUAAUUUUAAAUUUAUUUAUUUUAUAGUAAGUAAAUAUUGAGGUAAGUAAAUUUAUUGAAUUGAAUUUAGAAAAUUGAAUUGAAUGAGAAAUACGUGUUAGUAUUACUAUAAUUUGAAUUUAGUUAUUAUUAAUUGUUGAAUUUUAAGUUAAUGUGCAUGGUAAGUAUUAGUAUUGAAUUGUAUGAAAUUAAAUUGAAUUGUGAUUAUAUGUGAAUAAUUGAAAUGUAUAUUUAAUUGAGAAAGUGAUGUUGAAUUGAGAAAAAGAAUUGAAUACCCUAUUAACUAGUCGGGCUGAGUAGGAUAUAGUUGGCAUGCCAUAUGAUUGGAAAUGUUUAGGGAUGCUUCGACCUCGAGUCGAUGAGACACUGGGUGUCACUAUUUUACUUCGGAUAGAUUUGAUGAGGUAGUGGGUACCACUUUACUUCGGCUAGGCCGAUGAGACACUGGGUGUCAACUUUGCUUCGAACUAUCCACUGAGGCACUAGGUGCCAAAUUGGGGUCUUUGGUUGGAUCCGUGUAUCUGCCAAAUUCUGAAUCUGUUAAUAGAGGUAAUUAAAAGAAUAGUUAAGUUGAAUAAAAUGAAUCGGUUAAGCCACUGUAAGAAAUGUAAAAAUAGAACAUGAAUUGAAAAUGUGAUUUGAAUGUGAGUAUGAGAAUGGAAAGCAUGAAUUAAUGGUUCAUGGAAUAGACAAUGGCUCAACAUGAAUGUUUAUGAUUUCAAUUGACGAAUAGAUAAAUUCAAUUGUAUGAAUAUAUCGAGAAUGGCAAAUUUAUUUUUGAAUUGGUUUAGUAAAUAUUAAAGUUAGAUGAUUUAAUUUACAUGAUUAUUUUGUUUAUAAUUUGAAUUAUGGUAAUACCACUGAGUAUAAAAUACUCAGCGUACGGUUCUUUCCGUGCGUAGGUUAAUAGGUAUUCAGAGUCUUGGUUUAGCAUCCAGGUGAUCCCAACUCCAGCGCAAAACUCGGUGAUAUAUUCUUUUUUUGGCAAAAGUGGCAUGUACAUAGGUGUUAAUUUGGUCAAUUUAAAAUGCUAUAUAAUUUUUGUUAUAAAGAAUGGUAUUUGGUAUUUUGGUAUUGAAACUAAUGAAAUAGUAUGAAAAUUUAUAUGAUAUAUUUGGUAUAAUUAAUACUAACAUGAUCUUUUGAUACUUGGUUUAAUAAAAUGGAAAUAGAAUUAUCAUAACAUAUUUGAUAUAGUUGGGAACAAGUUGAAAUAGAAUGAAUGAAGUUUAUUUAAUUAAAUAAUAUAUGCGAAUGUUUACUCAGUAAAUUACUGAGUUGAUGUUGAACUAUGUUUAGGUGUAUUUAAAUAUGAAAUUGUAUGGAUUGUGAUAUUGGUUUUGAAUUGGCUGCGAUUUGAAUUUGCAGGGAAGGUUAAAUAUUCAUAAAGGGGUUAUAUUGAACUUUUUUUCUAAAAAAAAACAAAGAAGUCAAUUAGCAAAAGUUUUAUAUGAACUUAUGAUUAUAUUAUAAUAUGUUCGAUAAUUAUUUGAAUAUUAAUCGUAAAUUAUUUGAUUAUCCGGUAUGCCUCGUACCCCUGUUUCGGCGACGGUUUAGGGUUAAGGGGUGUUACACAUUCAUCCAUUAUGCUUAAGCUUAGAAUUAAGCAUGCAUACCUAACAAGUUAUUCAAAUCACAACAUCAUAUGCACACAACUAUACAAUAUAAGUAUUUAGGAACUAUUACAGACCAUAACCAAAUUCCCCUAUUACAUGCCUUAUAAACCAAAUAGAAUUCAAAAUCUACCAAAAGAUCCCCAAAUAGUGUGAAUUAUUCGAGUUGAUCCGAUUCACAAAAUGUGAUCUACAAGGAAAAGACAAAGACACAAGUAUGCUUUCAUAAAGCUUAGUUAGUUCGUCAGUUAAACAAUAAAACUUAAUUAACUAAAUAUAAUAAUUCAAAUAACAAGAUAAAUGAAUGGAGUUCCUGUCAACAAGGCUAUUAUCAGAAUUCCUAUCAACCACAACCCACAACGAGUAAUUUUAAACAUUAGUUCAAAUCAAUUUUCCACAUUUCAAUACAUUCACAUUUCUUAUUAUCACAAUGCAUAAUCUCUUUAACAAAUAACGAUGAUACAACAUUUACCACAUUUACACAUAUAUGCUAUUACGAACUGCUUACUGUUUCGCACCUUGCAUUUAGAUCGUCAAGUGUUUCUAUGCAACGCAUACUAGAAAGACGAUUGAAAUCCAGGUACAUGUUUCAUAUUGUGCCAUAUUCCAACUAUAGUAUUACAUGUGUAUUGUCAUGACACUACCAUGGUCUUAUGUUCAUAGUGGCAUAACCCGGUUAUGGUCUUAUCAUCAGGACACUAUAACCCAGCUAUGGUCUUACAUAUAUACACUGCCAUGGUCCAACCAUGGUCUUACGUCUGAAUAAUUGCCAUAGCAUCACUAUUGACUUAAGUACGGUUGUAGCUUGUCUCAAUUGAUAUUAGGAAUUAUCAUUUUCGUAACUUUUUAUAACUCCAAUUCUAUCAACAAAUCAAUUUAAUAUUAGUAAUUUUAUAUCAUUUCAGGUCUAACAUUCAUAAACAAUUAGAAAUAUAAUCAAGUUCAUAUUAAAUGAACUUACAUGAUGAAAAAACGAAGUUGAAAUCGAGACAAUGAUCAAUCUGUUCCUUUAACCUUUCCGCAAUUAGAGCCUAAUUGAUUUAUUUCUUGAUCUAAUAUGAAACCAAAGCUUGACCGAAGUUUUUCAAGCCCUAACAAUGGUUAUUCGGUUCAAGAAAAAUAUGAUAUUUACCUUUAAUUCAUUAAAUUUAACUUACCAUUUAACUAUUUACAAUUUUAACCUUUUAAUUUUCACUUAUAAAAUUACUCUCUUAUGUACAUAAAUGUCCAUAACAUAUAACUAUGGUAUAAUUACUAUAAUAGCCCAUUUUUCAGUGAAAUCGGAACAGUGGUUUCGGGACCACAAAUUCGAUCCAAAAAUAAAGUUUAUUUUUAUUUUAUUAUUAUUAUAUGGUCUGUGAUAGAUUUGUUGUGUGAAAAAUUUGAUAUGAAAUUUUUAUCGAUUAAGUGUUUAAUUACGAGAAGGACUAAAUCGCAUAAAAUGCAAAAGUUAAAUUCUAGUAGUUAUAAGGAUUAAAUAGCUAUGGAAUUCAAAACUAGAGGUCCUUAUAUGGUAAUUAGACCAUAAAAGAAAACUAUGUAGAUUUUUGGUGACUCAUCCAUGGAAAAAUUAAAAAAAGGUAAGGACUAAAUUGGAUUUAAAAUAAUUAAUUAAUUAAAAAGAUGAUAAAAGAUAUCAUCUUAUUAUUUUGUCAUCUUCAACCUCAAAAAUUAUAUGGAAACCCUAGGAGAGAAAGCAAAAACUUUCAAGGCUUAAUUGCUUUGUCCUAUUUUUAGUAAUUUUGAUAUUUUUAAAACCGUGAUAGCUUAAUCUAUCUAUUUGGGGGAUUAAUUUAAAAAGUUAUUAUGAAAUUUGGGUCAUGGAUGAAUAUGCUGAAAAUUAGAAAUUUAUGGUAGAAAAUGAAAGGUUGUUGAUAGAUAAACAACUUUUACAAAGUGAUUUUUGAUGGAAACAUGAUUUAGGGACUAAAAUGUAAAGUUGUGAAAUUUGAUGAAGAAUUCUGAAUACAUGUGCUGUAAAUUUUGUAAUGGGAUUUUGGUUAGGCUUGGAAUAUGGAGUAAAUUGCACAAGUUUCAUUUUCCGAGCCUAGGGACGAAAUUAGAAUUUAGGGAAAAGUUAUGGGUAAAAUGGUAAUUUUUUCUAGGACGUAGAUUGAGUCCAAAUGAAUACAAAAUAUGAGAAAUUGAUGAUUAAAAAUAUUUAUAUAGAUCCAGACAACAUAAAUUCGAGGUUAGAUCGAGGAAAAGAAAAGGUUUUGGAUUCGUAGAUUACUUAUGCGAACAAGUAUCGAGGUAAGUUCGUGUAACUUAAUCGAACAUGUAAAUAUGUUUAAUUGAAUUUUGUGUUUGUAUGGAAUGUGACUUAUAUUGAUGUACAUUAUUUAAAUGCUAUAAUGAAAAUUUUAAUACAUGCUUGAAAUGGUGAAAAAGGGUUAAGUCUCGAUUGAAUACUGAAUUUCGAUGAUUAUAUGCGCUUUCUCGAAAUGAAUAAGGUCCUGCAUUUGUUACGGACGGGAUUUAGCUCAGACGAGUAAUCCUAUUGAUCUUGUUAUAGAAAGGAUUUAGCCCAGAUGGGUAAUUUGAUAUAAUAUCUCUCGAGUAUACGUUACGAUUAGGGUUUAGCUUGGACUGGUAAUCCUGUUAUACGAAAUGUGGCUCGAAAGCGUGUUCCUUGGUUAAGUGCCCUAAUGGGUACUCUUAAAUAAAAAUUGAUGGGUUAUUGAAUUGUACGCCUCGAGUGUACUACUUGAGUAUCCAUCGGAAUAUCAACGAUUCAACAGACAAAACUCUUGACAUGAUGAGAGAAUUAUGAUAUGAAAUGAUAAUAUCUUGAAAGAAUAUUGCAUGCUGAGCUCAUCUAUGUUUACUUGAUUGAUAUGAAGAUUUUGUGACUAGCAUGUUUGAUUGAAUGUAUGUGUUUAGACAAUUAUUCCAAAUGGAUGGAAACAAGAUAUUGUAUGCUUAAAUUUAAUAAACACAAGAUUGGUAAGUUUAGUUUCCGUUAUACGAACUUACUAAGCAUGUAAUGCUUACUCCAUUUUAUUUUUCCCCUAUUUUAUAGUGCUUUGAAGCUCUCAAAGGUUGGAGAUCAUUGGAGCAUCAUCGCACUAUCCACUAGCUAUUUUGGCUAUAUAUAGUAAAAUCAUUUUGGUAUAAUGGCAUGUUUAGGCGAUUUUGGCCAUAGAUGGCUUAUAUAUGUGGUUUGUAAUCUAGCCAUUGGAAUGGCUAGUAAUGGUUGUUUUUUAUAUACUUGUAAUGUCAUACUAUGGUAGCUAUAUGCAUGUUAAUGGUUGUUCAAAUUAUGCCUAACAUUAAUAUAUGGAAUAUACCAAGGUAAGAUUAUAAACAUGUAUGCAAACAAUGAUAUGCCAUGUUGGAUGAUGAAAAUUGCUCAAUUUGAAUGCUUGAAAUGGUUGGAAUGUGUUUGGUAUGUUUUAGUGCAGGAAAAUGGUAAAUUUGGGUGACAAAUAAGGCUAGGAAAUGGCUUUAUUUUGUCCAUAUGAGCAGACACACGGGUGUGUGUCUAGACUGUGUGUGACACACAGCCAGGUACGUGGGCGUGUAGUUAGGCCGUGUGUUCCAUGCAUCUUAAUUUUGAGAAACAGAAUGUUCACAAUUGAGCACACAGGCAGAGACACGGGCAUGUGUCUUAGCCGUGCGUUCUACACGGCCUAGAACAUGGGCGUGUGUCUUGGCCGUGUGAAACCUACACCUAAUUUCGAAUUGAAUUAAUUAACCACACGGCCUAGAACACAGGUGUGUGGCAUGGCCGUGUGCACAAGUCAGAGAGUUACACGGGGUCGAACACGGCCUGCAGCACGGAUGUGUCCUAGGGUCACACGGGCAUGUCCCUUGGACCAUACAGGCGUGUGACCCCUGCACCUAGGAAAUUUUUGAAAUUUCGCAAAAAUUUCUUAGAGGUCCUGAUUAAGUCCCGACUUGAUUCUAACGCUCAUAUUGGGCCUUGAGGGUCCAAUUAAGGGACAUUUUAUUUGAUCUCGGUUAAUGAAUAAUAAUUUACAUGAAUUAUUUGUAAAAUGUUUUGAAAGUUCUGGUAAUGCCCUGAAACCCUGUUUCGACGACGGAUAUGAGUUAGAGGUGUUACAAUUACCAUCCAAGGAAGGUUUAAUUGCACAAUUGGUUAUUCAAUUAUAUUAAAUUUCAACUAAACAAGCUUAAUUUCAAUUCAACCCUAAACUAAUUAGAACUAAAUGAGCAAAUAGCGAAAAAGUUAGUAGAUUUAAUCACGUCACCACCGCUUGGACUUUUUUACCAUGGUUUAAUCACCAUUUUGGUCCCUUCAGUAUUUUAAAUCUAUAGCAAUUAACUUUUACCUCUUUUACAAUUUAAUCUUUUUACCUUAAUUAAGCAAUUACUCGUAAAAAUUACUGGACCAAACUUCAAUUCACCUAUAAUAUGACUCUGUAAGUAUUUAAUAAAAUAUUUACAACUUUAAAAUUAUAAACACGAUGUCCCAAUACCUCAUUUUCAACAACCAUUUAACUUUUGGACUAAAUCGUUUAUACUAGGUUUAGUACCAAUAAAGGCCCAUUUUCAAAAUUAUUUACAAAAAUGGGUCGUUUCUAAAAAUAAUAACGGGUAUAGAUCGAAAACCCAAAAACACACUGACGUGGACACAUUUUCAGGGGAUAACCUAGAAAAACGCUUUCACGUCAGCUCUUUUUUUCUUUGUGUCAAGCAAAAGCACGCUGACGUAUACGCACUUUUGGCUGUGUAAUCCUUGCUGGAUUUGCUUUUGUUGAACUUAUCGAUGUUAUUCAGGAUCUGGGUUUGUCUAUUGUUCAUUCUUGAAUCACCAUUGGAAGCACUAUAACACCUUAGAUCUUGCAUGGCAUUGAUGCCAUUCUUACUCUCUAUUUGUUGAGCCUUUUCUUCCUUACUUGGAUCUAAAAUUUUCCAUAGAAUUGUUGUAAGAGAAGAAAAAAAUAAUUGAAAUUUCAUUUUCCGAGCCUAGGGACGAAAUCAUAAUUAAAUAAAAGUAUAGGGGAAAAAUAGUAAUUUUACCUAAGAUGUGAGUUGGAUUGAAUUGAAUAUGAGUUGUAUUAAAUUAAGUUAAAUUUACUCGUAUAGAUCCAGAUAGACCAAAUAUGAAAUUGGAUCGAGGAAACGAAAAGACAUCGGAUUAGUAAAUUACAAUUCACGAACACUUGUCAAGGUAAGUUCGUGUAACUAAAUUGUGUAUAUUUAUAUGUUUGAAUUUAAUGUUGUAUAUGUGUAUUGUAUAAUUUACAUGUAUGAAAAUCGGUCACAUAUCCGAUAAUGCUCGAUAAGUAAUAAGUCCCGAUUGAAUAAAUGAAAUUCGAUGGAUACAGGGUUCCCAAAUUGGUUGUGGUCCUGCAUAUGUUGCGGACACACCAUAGCUCGAAAGAGAGUUCCGUUAUUAGCCAUCUCAAGCUUCCUGCUAUAUGGUUCUUGCGAGCUUCCCAUUAAUAGCUCUUCGGAGCAUCCCGAUUGGUUGUGAUUCUGCAUGUGUUGUAGGCACACCACAGCUCUUAUGAGCGUCCCAAUAUAUGGCUCUUAGUAAGCUUCUCGAUUAAAGUCUCUUUAUGCACUUUCUGAUUAAUGGCUCUCCGGAGCUUCCCGAUAUGGCUUGCUUGAACUUCCCAAUAUAUGGCUAUCUGGAGCUUCCUAAUUAAUGACUUUUCGGAGCUAUCCUUUAUUGGCUCGCAUGAGUUUCUAGAUUAUGGCUCGCAUGAACUUCCCAUUAUGCAGCCCGGAUAAGCUUCCCGUUAUACAACCUGGAUAAGCUUCCCGUUACAUGGCUCAUAUAAGCUUACUGUUAUAUAGCUCGAGAAAGGGCUUCCCGAAUAUGUGCUCUAAUGAGUACCCUCGAAUAUGAAUUGUCGGAUCUCUGAUUCAUACACUUCAUGCGUACUACCCUUAUAUCCAUCGAUAUUUUAAAUGAUUCAAUGGGUAAAGUUCCGAUAUGAGAUGAUAUGAAAUCAAGAUGAAUUACUAUAAGAAAUACUUGAAAUACAAAGAUAUGAUUACAUGUAUGUGGAAAUUGAAUAUUGAUGAGCUCAUUCAUGUUUCUUAGUAUUUAUGUGAAUUACAUGAUUACAUGAUUAACAUGUUUGAUAGAUAUGUCUAGGCAAUUGGCCAAAUUGGUUUGAGCAUGUUUAUUUGCUUACCUUAAAUGUGAAUAUUGGUAAGUUAAAUUCAAUGUUGUAAGAACUUACUAAGCUUAAAUGCUUACUCUAUUUUAUUUCUCAUGUUUAUAGAAUUGGAAGCUUGUAAAGGUUAGAAGUUGGUCGGAGCUACAUCAUACUAUCCAUCGGCCCAAUUCAAUAUAAAUUCUUUAUAAAUAGUAAAUUACUUUUGGUUAUAACAGCAUGUAUAGGUUAAUUAGCCAAUGUUGGCACAUAUAUAUUGGUUGUAACUAGCCAUUUGAAAUGGCUUGUGAUUAAUAUAUUUUGAUGUAUAUAUGUGUACUUUUAUCUAGUUAAUGUGUAUGGUAAAAUGAUUGAAGUUGAAGUGAGGAUGGAUUAUGCAUAUGAAUAUUUGAUCAAAUAGGUAAGUAAGUAAGUAAGUUUGUUUACUUGGUUAUAUGAGGUAUUAUAUAAUGCAUAAGACUUGGAUUUGGCUUGGUUUAAAUGUCUUGGAUUGGCUUGUGAACAUGUUAAAGUGUUAAUGUAGGUGGAAAACAAAUUGGGUGAGAAAUAUGGCUUAGAAAUGGCCUUAUUCGUCCAUACAGGUGUGUGUCUCAGCCAUGUGUAACACACGGCCUAACACACAGGCAUGUGUUUUGGUCGUGUGUCCCCUGCAUCUUUAAAAUUUAAAACAGAAUGCUCAAGAUUUUUCACACGGCCUAGCACACGGGCAUGUGGCUUGGCCGUGUGACCCUAGUUAAAAAGUUACACAAAUACGGACACAGGAUGAGACACGACCGUGUGCCCUAUUUUGAAUGCCCACAUGGCCUGGGACACGAGCGUGUCACAUGGCCGUGUGAACCACAUGGGCGUGUGUCCUCUGCACCUUGGAAAAAUUUAGAGAUUUUGUAAAAAGUUCUCUGAGUAUCUAGUUUAGUCCCAACUUGUUUCUAAUAUAUGUUUUGGGCCUCAAUGGCUCAUAUAAAGAACUUUAUGAAUAAUAUUUGACAUGAACGUUAAAUAAUAUGAAAUGUCUGUAUUUGAUCUGUUUAUUUGAGUAAUGCUCUGUAACCCUAUUCCGGCGAUAGAUACAGGUUAGGGGUAUUACAUGAAUACCUUUAUUCUUUCUAUAGAAGCACUUAGCUUUUAUUUUUGUAACAGCCCGAUUUUGGGCCUAAUCAAAACAGUGGUUUUGGAACCACUAACCCGAGGUAGGAGAAAUUAUUUUUAAUAUUAUUUUAUGAUUGUAGCAUGAUUAUAUGAGUGCAUGAAAAUUUUGGUGAAAUAAUUUUAGCGAUUGCAUGUUUAAUUGCAAAAAAAAUACUAAAUCGCAUAACGUGUGAAAGUUUUGUUCUACUAGCUAAAUGUGUCAAAUAGCUAUGGAACAUAAAAUUAGAGGUCUUUAUUGAGUAAAUAGACCACAAAUAUGUUAAUAGCUGAUCAUAGAGACAAAAGAAUUGUAGGGUCAAAGUUAGGUGAAAUUUGGUGACUAAAUUGACUAGAAUUAAAAUAUAAUAAAUAGAAAAAAAAAGAUAUCACCUUUCAUCUUCCUCCUCUCCACCGAAAAUACCAACAAAAAUAAGGGUUUUGGAGCUUCAAAAUUUCAACUGCUCUUUACCCUUACAAGCAAGUGAUUUUGAUGGUCUUUCUUGAUAAUUUUUGUACUUUUAGGACCUUUGUAACAUAAUCUAGCUAAUAAGGGGACUAUUUUGCAAAAUGAUUGAAAGUCUAGGGUUUCCUAUGAGAGUAUUCAUAUUAUUUUCUGAAUUCUUAUGGAAGAAAAUGAAUCUUGGUUGUUAAAUAAAUAACUUUUGUGAAAGGAUUUUCAUGAAAACACCUAAAAUAGACCAUUUUGUAAAAAUGACAAUCUAUUAUGUGUUGAAUGAUCAAUUUUGCAUAAUAUGGUUGAAUAUGAUUAUGAAUAAUGCAUUAUGAAAUUAAUAUGUUAAAUUCCCAGUUGAACCUAGAAAUAGAUUGGAUAUUCAUGCCAUGACAUUUGAGCGAUAUGUGUGCUAGUGUAAGACCAUGUCUAGGACAUGGCAUCGGCCACAAUAUGAGAGCCAGUGUAAAACCAUGUUUGGAACAUGGCAUCGACAAUGUAAUGAGAGCCAGUGUAAGACCAUGUCUGGGACAUUGCAUCGGCAUUGAUAUGUGCGCUAGUGUAAAACUAUGUCUAGGACAUGUCAUCGGCAUUGUGACGAGAGCUAGUGUAAGACCAUGUUUGGGACAUGGUAUCGGCCUCGACAUGUGAGCUAGUGCAAGACCAUGUUUAGAACUUGGCAUCAGCAAUUCACCCUCUUGUGUAAAGCUUUUCAGAUAUCCUUUAGUAUUCCAAAUGGUUUCACAGGUUAUUUUAAAGCUUAUGACAAUGAUAUGGAAUGAUAUAAUCAUGUUGUGAGUGGUACAGGUUCUUAUUCGAAACUCAUGAGAUAUGAGUCUAGUUAUGUUGCCUUCAUGGUAAGAAUGACAUGAGUAAGUUCUAGCUAUGAAAUGAUUUUGGGACAAUAAUGUAAUCUUUGGCUUAUACUUGUGAUAUUUAAGCAUGUAGCGAUAUUUAACUUUGUUCACUCAAGAAUGUUGUGUUGAUUUAUAAUAUGCAAGGUUGAUGUUGUUACUUAUUUAUAUGUAACUUACUAAGUUUUAUGCUUACUCCUUCUCUUUUCCAUCUUCAUAUAGUUCCACCAAGCUAGUAUUAGGGAUCAAUGGACGUAGGGGGCAUCGAUCACACUAUCACUUGAAGCUCUUGGCAUAGCUAGUUUAAAUGUUUUGAUUGUGGCAUGUAUAGGGACUUGAAUCUUUUGUUUAGUGUCUUAUUAGUUUAGCCACAAGUGUUGGCUCAUAUGAUGGAAGUGAUAUUCAUUUUGUGUAGGCCAUUAAUGUUGGCUAAUAUUGAUUUUUAUUAAAUGCAUUUAAUGAAGAUUUUCACGGAUGUGGUUGUUUGGUUAUGUGUAUCUAUGCUUGGAUUGGUUAUGUUUGAUGUUGUGUAGGUUGGUGCAAAUAUGGGUGGCAAAAACACUUGGUAGAUAACCUUGUUUUUUGUCCACACGGGCAUGUGUCUAGACCGUGUGUGACUCACGGUUUGCCCUAUGGGCGUGUGGUAAGGCCAUGUGUCCCCUGCAUCUAAAAGUUGGCAAAACAGAAUUCCUAGUAGUAACCAUACAGGCAAAGACACGGUCGUGUGUCCCAACUGUGUGGAGGACAUGGCCUAGUACACGGGCGUGUACCAUGGCCGUGUGCCCUUAAGGGGUUGCUGACGUUAAAAACAGAAUGUCAAGGUUUUUGCGCACCGGCUGAGACGCGGGCGUGUCAUGGCCGUGUGGGAGGCACGGGUCAUGGACACGGGCGUGUGCCGUGUGAAAACCCCUGUAGGUUCGAAUCGAAAAAUAAAUUCGCACAGGCUAGGGACACGGGCAUAUCUCGAUAUGUUCAGGCGUGUGAGCCACACGGGCCUUCAACAUGGCCAUGUUAAGAAGACACACGAGCGUGUUGUCCUUCCACACGGGUGUGUGCCACUAUCAGCUUGAAAUUUUAAAAAUUUUCUAGAGUGCAUAGAUUAGUCCCAAAUCAAUUCCAAAGUGUGGUCGGGGCCUCGUAAGCCCAUAGUAGAGACAUUAAGGUAUUGUUAAAAGUUUUAAAUUGGAGCGAAAUUUCAUAACUAGGAAAUGUAUGUUUUUAUGUGUUUAAGUCCGAUAACACCUCGUAUCAUGUUCCGGCGUCGAACUCGGGUAAGGGGUGUUACAAUUUUUCAUUUUUAAUUUUUAUCUGCCUAGAGCUGUGUGAGCUAAUAUGCCUAUUAAAAUGAGUGGAUUUUUGUGGUUUAGAGCCUUGUAUGUGGAAUUAGGUUAAAUUGUAGUUUUAGUCCUUUUAUUAUGUCAAAAUUUGAGAUUUUAAUAUAUAUUUUUUAAUUUUGUAUGAUAUUAUUAGUAAGUCCUAGUUGAUAUCGUCGUUGUUUACUAUUGCUUUUUUAUAAAGUUAUCUUAAGCAUUUCAUUAAAAUAUAAUUUUAUCAUUGCUUAAAAAUAAUUAACUAACUUUUUAAGAGCUUUUGGUUGUGCGGCUGAAUAAAAAAAAUCAUGUGUCUAAUUAUGAAAAUUUUCCCUUUAUUACGUUUAAAAAAAAAACAAAAUCCAUCUCGUCAAAAUAAUUUUUUCAGAACACAUCAUGUUAAAUUUAUUUUUUUAAAACCCAUAUUGUCAAAAUUAUUUUUCCAGAACAAUAUUUAACAAUUAAAAAAAAUUAAACCCUAAACAAUUAAAAACAUAAUACCCCAAUUUAAAUUUUUCUAACCCUAAUCAAACCUAAAAUUCCUAAACAUAGGCCCUAAUUUGCAAAUAACCCAUUGGGGAUUACAAGGCCAAAAGCGUGUCAACGUCAGUGUUUUUUCGUUGACACAUGGAAAAAGCGCACUGACGUGGAAGCGUUUUUUCUGGGUUAUUGCCUAAAAAUGUGUCCACAUCAAUGCAUUUUUGAGUUUUCGCUCCAUACCCGUUAUUGUUUUUAGAAACGGCCCAUUUUCAUAAAUAAUUUCGAAAAUAGGCCUUUAUUGGUACUAAACCCCUUGUACUAACCAUUAAUCUAAUUAAUUUAAAUUCAUCAAAUCAAAAUUUAAUAUAAAAAUUAUUAUUGACCGCAUAAUUUAAAUACUAAUUUUACGAAUUUAUUAGUUAAAUUUGUAAUCUCAAAACUAUUAAAAAAUGAGGUGUUACAAUGAGUUUAUUUUAAAUUUGAGUAGUUGCGUGAAAACCCCCUAUUUAAAAAGAUUCGGAAAUUUUUUACCGUUAUUUGAUAUUUUGAAAUACUUUUCCCUUAUUCAAGCAACCUUAAAAAAGUUAGUCCAUUGUUUAAGCAUUUAGCCAAAUUAGGUUUUUUAAAGGAUAAUUAUAUUAAUUUAAAGGAUGUCAGACUCCUAAGGAUCUCAACUUCCAUUUGCAUUUAUUAGGGAUUAACUCCCGAUAAAAAUUAAAUGCAAAUACAUUGAUGACCCCUACUCAUGUGUGUCAAGGUAGUUCAAUCACUCAAUAAUAAUUACUUUGAUUCGAAGAUGAAAACUUGACCAUGCAAUAACAUUAAGGUAACGAUUGAUUACUCGAAACUUAAAAUUAAACUAUAUUCUGUAAUAGAAUUACGAGAAUAUAAGAUUAUGGGUGAAAUAAUAUAUUAUUUUGUUUGAUUUAUUUGAUUGAAAUGUAAGAUUUAAGUGUUUGAUUAACAGAAUGUAAAAUUAUCUAAAAGUAAAUUAUAUAUAUUAUAUUAUAUAUAUAGACUUGUUCAUGGGUCAGGCUACUCGUCCAGGCUUAAGGCCCGAUUGAAAUUUGAGAGGAUUUGAGUAAAAAUAUUAUAUCCGAAAAAUGGACUUAAGCAAAAAAAAUUAGGCCCAUUUGAAUAUGGGUUGAGUUUGAGUUUGAACAUUCAAGGCCUAAGCCCGCCUGACUAGACCCAUUUUAAGUUUAUAAUACUUUAUAUUAUGUUAUUUUUAUAUAUUAUGUAAUUUAGAACACAUUAAAAAAAUAAACCUAUACUAAAUAUAUAAUACAACUCUAACGUAAACAUUAAAAUAAUGUUAAGUCGACUAUAUAAAAAAUUUAAUAAAUAAAAAUGUAUAAAAUUAUUAAAUAUUAAAAUAAUAUAAUAUAAAUAUUUUUGAAAAAAUUAAAAAAUAAUAUGGGCGACCUAAAAUAGGUUUGGGUUAGUCUUUUAUAAAUAUAGACAAAUUUAAACAAAAUUUUAAGUUUAGAUUUCGAGUAAGACUGAAUUUGAAUAAACAUAAAAUAUAUUAAUAUUAUGAUUAGACUCAGCCCAUAAGGUAUAUGAAUAUUAAAAUUCCAUUCAACCAAAAUGCAAUGACAACUUGGAAAGUGUUUAUUUGGUAAGAGUAUGCCCCAAUGAUGUGCAAAAUUUUGAUGAAUCCCAACAAGUGUACCAUAAUUGAACUGUUCUUGAAAUUGGAAUUAUUUUGUACUAAUAAGAGGAGGAAAAAACCACACCUUUUAAUAGCUUUGUACAUAUAUCUAAUUUAAAUUACCAAAAAAUGUAUUAACAUAAUUCUAAAAUAAAAUUUGAAUAAUUGGAAGACAUGCUAUCCUCCAUUUUAGGUGUAACACUUUUUAUUCAUAUCUGUUGUCGAAAUAGGGUACGAGGUAUUUCCAGAGUUUACUGAGCAUUUUUAGAUAAUUCUAAAUCAUUUAUUAUUCAUAUUCUGAAAAUAAUCAUAAUGUCCCUCUAUUGGGCCCUUAAAGCCCAAAACAUAUAUUUAAACAUUCAAUUCACAUUCAUGUCACAUAAAUGUAUAAUUUAAACAUUCAAUAACUCAAUUCAAGUUGCACGAACUUACUUCGUUGCACGAACUUACUUCGUUGCUUAUUCGUAUUUAUAGUUUUACUAAUCCGAAAACUUUUUCUUUUUCACGUUCAAGUCUCAUAUUUGAGCCACCCGGAUCUUUAUAAAUAAUUUUGAUCAUCAUUUUUAUUUAUUUCAUAUUCUAAUACAUUCAAUUAAUCUCUAGGCAAAAUUACCAUUUUACCCCUAAACUUUUGAUUAAUGACGAUUUCAUCCUUAGACAAAGAAAAAUAAAGUUCUUGUAAUUAAAUCCUUGUUUUGAACCUAAUUAUUCUUAUAUAUAUUGAUAAAAACCCAUAAAUUUUAUAAAAUAACAAAAUUUUCCAUAAUUUCAACACUUUUUAAAUUAAUCCCUAAAACAUGUUUUCACCCGAUCUUGAUCUAAAUUAAUAAUUUCAUUCAAUUUUAUAAUUUAAAUAAUAAAACAAUUCAUUUCCUUCAUUUUGGUCAUUUUUGACAUUUUUACAAAAUUGCCCCUACAGUUUUUCUUUUAUUCAAUUUAGUCCCUGAGUCUAAAACAUACAAAUUAUCCAUUUUAAAUGUAAACCUAUUAAGGGUGGCAACAAACAAUAGUAUGUAUGUUACUCGGAUGAAAUACUUCUUUAAAUUUUUCAUCCCAUUUGUUUCUGUUCGUUUGGUUAUAACUCCUGAGUCCUUGAAUCUCAAACUUCCUUCAUACUUCAUCCGAAAUUAUUACCUUGUUACUCUAACUUCAACAAGAGCUUCAUAUUUCAUCCGGAAUAAUUACUUUGUUGCUCUAGCUUUAAUAAAAGCUUCAUAUUUCAUCCGAAAAAAUUACUUUGCUGCUCUAGCUUCAACAAGAGCUUCAUAUUUUAUCCGGAAAACUUAGUUUUGUUUUUCUUCUUGUGUGAAAAACCCAACAAAACCCUUGCUAACUGAAAAUUCAUAUAUUUAUUUUCCUCCUCCUCCUCUCCAUUCCACAUCCUUAAUUUAUAUAAUAUGCUUAUAAGUAACAUUAUCAAUAAUUUCACUAUUUACUUAUAUGUAUAUUCAAAGCUGUCCAUUUAAGUCAUAGUCACUAAAUUAUUUAUAUCUUGAGUUAAAAAACUUCAAAUUAAGAUCCGUAAAUUUUACCUGAAACUAGACUCAAUUUCUUCUUACCAUAAAAUUUUAAGAAUUUUUUCUUUAGCCAAUUAGUACAGUUUAUUAAUUAAAGUCUCCCUUGUUUUGCUAUUUGACAGUUCUGACCACUCUUCACAAAAGUUUAAUUAUCUCUUUAAACAGAAUUCAAAUGAUGUUAUCAUUUAUUUCUUAUAAAAAUAGACUCAUUUAUGAAUCUAACCAUAUAAAUUAUGUCCCAAAAUUAUUUUUAUAUAAUUUUUAAUGAUUUUUCCAAGUCAGAACAGGGGAUCUCGAAAUCAUUCUGAACCAGUCUCACAAAAAUACAAAUAUCUUAGAAUACAGAAUUCCUUUACUUUCUAUAUUUCUUUUAUAUGACAAUAUACUAAAUAAGAUUUAAUUCCGUAUCUCACUCAGCUUCUAAUUCAAUUUCUACCAUUUUUGGUGAUUUUUCAAAGUUAGCCUAUUGCUGUUGUCCAAAACUACUUUAAUGCAACAUAUUGAUUACCAAGUUUAUAACACUCUUAUUUCCAUUCUCUACCAUAUUUCCCAUUAUUUUCUCUCAUUUCCCUUCACUAAUAUAUCAAGAACAUGGAUCCUUAUAUAAUAAAACUCUACCUUAACAUCAUUUUCAUGCUUUUGAUAUUACCUUACAUGAGAAACUCUACUUAAAAUAUAUUGAAAUCUUAAAAUUCUUACCUUGUUUCAUUGACUUCAAUCUUUAACUUGAUUUUCUCUCUCCUCCAGCUUCUAUUUCUUGAAUCUAACUUAAUAUUCUAGCUCCCCAUAGUCUCCUUGUGAUCUUUCUCUCUUGAUGUCUAUGGAAAUUCUUUUGAUUUUUAGGUGAAAAUGGUGGAUUUUUGGUGAAAGGACCAAAUUGUAAAGAAAGCAAAACUUUCUUUCUUUCCCUCUUCUUCUCACAUUGGUUUGCAUGGAAAAAAUGAUGAAAAUUCUUCAUCUUUCCUUCUUUAAUACUUAAUAAAUAAUAAUAAUAAAAUAAUAAAAUAUCUUAUUAAAAUAUUAAUAAAAUAAUAUUUAUCUAAUUAAUAAUUAUAAAAUAUCAUCAACAUCAUCAUCACUUUCUAGAUUUCUCUCUCUUCCAAUUGACCAUUUUUCCCUUUGUGAUCUUUUAAAAUUCCAUCAAUGAAUCAUCACAUAAUUUGGUAAAAUUAUGAUUUAGUCCCUCAUAAUUCUUUUCCUAUUCAAUUUAGUCCUAAUUCAUCCAUUUUCCUUAGUUUCUAAUCAUUCCACCCUUAAAAUAUUUACACUAUUAGUCCUUCAAAUUUUUCAUAUUUACACUUUAGCCCUUCAAAUUUUGAGUAUUUAUUCUUGUGCAACAAAACUUUUCUCACUUUUACAAUUUAGUCCUUUUUUGAAUUAAUAUAUCAUAAUAUACUUCCUAAUGUUGGCAUAACUCAGAAUUUUUUUUUCUUUUUUUGUCACUUUAUUUUCUUAUUUUACUAUAUCAAGAAUAGUAUUUUACUGUAAAAAUUUUCAAGAUAUUACAUUAGGCAUCCGCCCAGAGUUUGCAUAAAAUUUGAAAAAAAUUCAGGCAUUGAAUUUUCAAACUUCCUUAUUAUUGAUUUAAAAGUUUGUGGUAAUUUUGUCAUAAAAUUCAAAUUUUGCUUGAAAUCUCAUAUUACUUAAGAAAUAGGUCAUAAUGAGAUUAUAUCCUAUAUUAUAAGAUGACCGUAAUGUAAGAUUAUGAUAUGGUCGGAAUGUUAAAAUCCAAAUAUUAUAAUCUCAUUCUGAAAUAUAACAUUACGGGUUAUAAUGAGAUAAAAAAACAUAUUCUAAAAAAUAACUAGACGACAUAAUGACAUUAAAGGAACUCGAUACCCAUAAAUAUCAAAGCACCCCUUAAAAACACAUUCCAGGAAAUAGCUUUUAUAUAUACCUAAUAUAAUAUUAAACGACUACAAUAUCAAAAGUAAAAAAAUAUAUAUUAAAGAACUACAAUAUCAUAACUAGUGUUAAUGAGAUAAAUAAAUAAAUAAAAAUAUUUUUUAAUUAAUAAUUUUUAUGGUUGUUUGUGUAACGCCCCAAUUUUCAGGAAUUCUGUGAAUGUUGGCAUAGGUUUAAUUAUGUUAGUGGGCCUCUAGAAGGCCCAAGUUUAAGAUAGAACCCGACAAUUUUAGUUAAUUUUUGUUCCAUAAGAAAAAGGGGGUGAAAUUAUGAAAUAGAACCUAUAUGAAAAUGUUUGAAAAUGCUAUAGGAUAAAUUGAAGUGGCCAAAUAAAUAGGAGUGCAAAAUAGGAGGAUUUGCAUGACAAACCUCCCAUUUUACAUGAAGUGGCCAGCCAUCAUGUUGUUGUAGACAAUAUGAGCACUUGAUAUCCAUAAUUCAUGGUACAAAUUGAUAAUGGGUUAGGUAAAUGUUCCAUGAUAAUGGAUUAGGUAAAUAUUUCAUGAUAAUGGGUUAGGUAAAUGUUCCAUGAUAAUGUGUUAAGUAAAUGUUCCAUGAUAGGCAUUUCAUGUCUUUUGUAUUAAAGAAUUAAAUGGAUGAAAUAUGAAAUUUUAUUAAAAAAAAAAGGGUGAAAAGAACAAAGUUUUGUCCAUCUUUGUUCAUCAUAGCCUAAAGUUAGAGAAGAGAAAGGAGAGGAGAAAGCUCUUGAAUGUUCGGUCACUUGGGGAAGAAAAUUGAAGGUAAGUUUUUGGUACCUUGCUUCUAUUUUGAGGUUCAUGAGUUCUUCUUGAUUCUACCUUAACUCUUGAAGCAUAUUUUAGUUUUUAGUUGUGUUGUGAGUAUUUAGUCAUGAAUUAAAAUGAAAGAAAUGGUUGUUGUUUCAUGUUCUUUUGAUGAAAAAUGGAAGAUAGGUGAAGUUGAGCCAAACAAAUGAGCAUGCAUGUGCCUUAGAUGCUAAGGGGGAAAAUCGGCUAACAUGUUGUGCUUUAAAAUGAUGAAAUGGAGAUUAUACUUAAGUAAAAUCAUAGAUAUGUGAUGAUUGAUUGGUGAUAUACAUGUUUAAAUAACAAGCAUGCAAGUUAGGUGUGAAAGAGUGAUUUGGUAAUAAAUCUGCUUGGGACAGCAGCAGUAACGUGACUUUGGAAAAUCACCAUAAAUUGUGGGAGAUGAGUUAGAAGCUGCAUAAAUUAUGUAAUUAAAGCUUAAUGAGUCUAGUUUCAAAUGGAAUAAACAAGAACAUAUUUUGAAUUCUGUACAAUGAGAAAUUUGAUUCGUAAUGAAGAGUGGUCAGAUUAGUCAAACAGUGAAACAUGGGAAACUUUGAGAAAAAUCUGGUAUUGAUUGGCUAAACCAAAAAUUCUGAAAAUUUUAUGGAUAGAAGAUAUAUGAGUCUAUUUUCAAGGAAAAUUAACGGAACUUGAUUUGGAGUUUUGUAGCUCCAGUUAUAAAUGAUUUAGUGACUGUUGCUCAGGAAGACAGCUUGCAGUGAAAUUAUGAUUAUGUGGUAAACAUUGACAAAAAUUUGUUAAUGAGUUACUUAUUGUUUUCAUAUAAGCUUACUAUGAUCUGUAGGUGUGGUUGGCCGAAUAUUGUAAGGGUUUAAUACGUAGUUUUUAUUUGAAUAGUUAGAUUAACGUGUUAGUAAUCCAAUUGUAGGAGGUUCGUGUGUGGAUUUCGUCAGCAUAUCGUCGCAAACAAGUGUGUAACUAACACUCUCUUUCUUAGUCUAGAUCGGCAAAAAUCGAAAAGCCGAAAUGCCAAAAACCGGUAUUUUGUAGAUUUGCGAGUGUGCGAAUGCUCGUGAGGUAAAUCGAUUAAUGUUUUAGGUAAGCUGCAAUGUUUGAACUGCAAAGUGCAUGAUUUAUGUGCCCUCGAUAUUUUUGGGCUUAAUGGGCCAAAAUUGGAAUGAUGGGCCAAUGGGCCCAAUUCGGUAAGAACCCUCGGUAGUGAUUCUGUUAGUACGUGAAAGGUAGGAAUAUGCAUGAAAAACCCUAAAAUAGAUAAAUUACUGAAAUACCUUUAAAAGUGGAAAAUUUACAGUUUUACCCCUAGGUUAUAAAUUACCGAAAUACCCCUAGGGUUAAAUUGACCUAAAUGCAUGUUUGACUGUUGUUAUUUACUGCAUGCCAUGUUGUUAUUAUCUGAUGCAUGGGACUGGGAUAUUGACGGAGGAAGUACUGAAAGUGGCUUGUCCACGUACUGGAGGCUUUGCCUCAAUUUACUGUUAACUGAGCAGCAAGGCUGCAACUGUGGAGUGCUGGGCUGGGUGGGUUGAGCUAUUCCCCACAUGGAGUGUAUGGCUGGUACGGGUGGAGUGUAGUGGUUGGUGGGUUGAAUAGUCUCCCCAAAUGGGCUUGCAUAUGUUUACUGAUGUUGCAUGUAUUUUGAAAUGGGCCUAUGGGCCAUAAUGUUAUCUGAAUAAGGGGCUAAGGCCCAGUUUAUUGUAAUCUGAAAAGGGUCUGGCCCAGUACCACUGUUACCUGAAUGGGCUUAGGCCCAAUAGGCUUGAGCUGACUUGGGCUUUGAAUGGGUUUUCCUUACACACUGAGUUUCCCCAGACUCACCCCUUUUAUUUUCAUCCACGCAGGAAACCCCCAACCAUAGUGGGCUUGGAGCUAUGAGGGAAUUCGAAGUGGCCACCCGUUCUGAAAGUUUGAUUUUCUUCUGGUGAAUUGGACAUCCUUUUAUUUAUGUUUGAAGUUUUGGGUUUUUAAAUGCAAUAAGGCCGCUUAAUUAUUUUUGAUGGUUUUAAUAUGUAUUACUAAGAUAGGUAUUAUUUAUUUUAACUGUUGAAAUUGGAUAGCUUUAGGGCGCGUUUUCAAAAACAACAAUUGAUUUCAAAAUAACACGACAACAAAUAAAGCUUCCGUAAUGAAAGUAUUUUCCAAAAUUAAUCAGUUUUCCUAAAAAUGACUUAAUCAAAUCGGUUUCCUAGAAAUAUCCAUGACGUUAAGGUGUGGCAAUGGCGGUAUGCAUGUCUAGGAUUGGAUCCGAAGGGAGCUUGGUACUUAAGCAGUCCGAUGGACUCACCGCCUCUUUUCCGGUUUCCUACCUGGUGCACAGUUUCCAUUCACUUUAACCUAUAUGAAAUUAUCUUUUAAAACACUAAGUAAGUUUUUCUGGACCAAUAAUAUAAAAUGUUUUGAACGCAUGUCGGAUCCGGUCAUAACGUCUGGGCCGGGUUUGGGGUGUUACAGUUUGACUUUUUAAAAUAAUUUUAUUAAUUUUUAAUUGAUGUGGCGUGAGACAAUAAUGACAUGCCAGUAAAUUGAUGCAUAUAAGGUGUCAUGUCAGCAAACACGAAUAAAUCCAAACAUUAACAAUCACACUAGCAAGGCCAUUAGGAUUUGAUUGUCAAUCAUUAAAUUUAACGGUCAAAAGGAUUAAAUGGUCAAUUUUAUGGGUUAAAGAGCUCAAUUGGAUUUAAAAGAUUGAGAAGAGCUUAGUUGAUUUUUUUUUAAAUACUUCGAGAGCUUAUGGUACGUUUAUACCUUUAAUCUAUAUUAUUAUAUAAGGUUAGUGUUACAAGUUAAUUAAACACCAUUUUAAUUAACAAAUAACUAAAAAUCCAUUAUACUUACAGACUAACAAAUAACAUAAAAAUAUUUUUUUAUAAUAAUAUUUGAGUCUAAAAUACUAUUACCUCAAAAACUUUAAUUUAACCAUUUUAAAAUUUCAUUUGAAUUUUAUAUAAGUGAAAAUAUAUGGUUCACAUUAAAUGUUGUUUACAUCAUUUUCACAAGGUACCAUAGUAUACUGUUAUUCUUUUUAAAAACAAAUUUUCAAAAAAUUGUUACUUUUUUUAAAUGAUUUUACGUAAAAUGUUUUCCAUUGUUUAAUAAAUUUAUUAUUUUUAAAUGUUGUUUUUAAUGAAAUAAAUCAAACAUUAAUAUAUUGGGAAAGGAUUGUAUGAAACAGUGAUGCCACGUCAUCUGUAUCACUUUCCAAUAGUUUUAUGCCACAUCAGUAUUAAAAUCCUGAAUUUUAAGAUUUUAAUUUGGAUUUGAUUUUUUUCAGGAUAAAAUCCUGAAAUUCAGGAUAAGAAUACUGAUGUGGCAUUAAACUAUUGGAAAGGGAUACAGAUGACGUGGCGUCACUGUUUCAUACAAUCCUUUCUCUAAUAUAUUUGUUACAAAAAAAUUAUAGAAAUAUUUCCUUUUAACAAUCAAAAUUUAUUUUAUAAAAAGAUAAUAUUUUAUAAUAAUUAAUGUUGUAUAUAAACUUAAUAAUAAAUAAUGUCUAAUUAAAACUUAAUUUAAAUUACAUAUAUUACGUAUAUGAGAGUAAAUAGUGACACAUUAGACUUAAAAGAAUAAAUGAAACUAAGCAUGAUUUAAACAAAUACUCAUAUUUGUAUAAUUAAAAUAUUCAUAUUUUACUAUACAACAUUUAUUAUUAAAUAUUUAUAAAUUGUAAUAUAUAUUUAUUAUUAGAAUAUUAAUAUAUAUUUUUUAAUAAUAUAUUAAGAAUAUUAUUUAAAAUAUAAAAUUAUUAUUGUUAAAUUUUAUUAUUAAAAUAAAAUUUUAAUUUAUUAUAUUAUUAAAUAUAAAUAAUUAAAUAUGAAUGUUUAAUAACAUUGAACAUUAUAAUAUUUGAUUUUAAUAUUUUAAUAUUUUUAAAUAUUAAAAGUUUUAAUAAUACUAUUAAGGUUUAUUCAAGUUAUUUUUUAUAUAAAAAUAAAAAUACUCAUAAAAGAGUUAUCUUUUAAAAAAUGAUUUACACUUUUCAAUAUAGUAAGUUAAUUUAUAAGAAAAUAGACUUAUUAUUUUUCGUUGACAUGUAAAAGGAGGUCUUUUCUAGAAUAUGACUUAAUGCUUUUUAAGAUGGCAAGUUAAUUUAUAGGAAAAACAAUUUAUUUUUCGUUGGAGUGUAAGUCACUUUUAGUUGAUAAAUUAAUUUUCAUAAAAUAAAUAGAAUGAAAAUUUAAUAUUUAUAAAACUAAGCUCGUGAUCAAAUCGAUCAAAUCACCGCUUCCCGAUUUGACUAAUCUAACGACCAAUAAAUAAGUAAAUAAAUAAAUUAGUCUCCCAUUUCUCAUUUGUUUCAACUUUUUAUUUAUUCUAGUAAAACCAUUCAUAAUAAAUGUUGAACAACUCUUCUUUUAAUAGACAACCCAUCUCUUUUGACUCUUAUUGAUUUAUAUUAUAAUGAUAAAGGCAUUUUGCUGGAAUUGAUGCUAAUUAAUUAAAUUUCAUUCGAAAUUUUAAUCUAAUAAUAAAUGUAGUGCAACUCUCUAAUUUUUUUUUUAUUUUAUUCUCUAUUUCUCUUCUUGUUCUCAUCUAUUUUGACCAUUGAUUUUCCUUUUCUAUUUGUUUCUUCCUCUUCUUCUUUGGUUCCUUGAUUGUUGGAUUUUUUUUUUCUAUUUUUUUCUUCUCUUGUUUCCUUUGUUUACUACGUACCGUAAUCAGUAAAUUAAACUCAAAAACACUUUAUUUUUCUUCUCACAUAUUCAAUACUUCUUUUCUACUGAUCUUGUAUUAUUUUAUUCAAAUCUCUCACAAGUCACAUUGUCUAAUGCUUGAAGAAAAAGAACUAAACUGAUUUUAGUGGAAGGAAUAUAAUCAAUAUUAUAACAUAUAAGUUUUUUCACUCGGUCUAACCAAUUUUUAACCUGGUUUAACUUGUUUGUUUGAUUUUUGGUUUUAUGAGGAUGAUCGAACUGUUAAAACUAAUUUAACCAACCAAUUCAAUCCGAUUUCAAAAACAUUGAGAAAAAUGUUUCGUGCCAGUGCCAUUGCCCCUUGAACCAGAGCAUAAUUAAUAACCUUUUGUAACUUCUGGCUAAUUACAAGAAGAUUUCUAUUCAAGUAACGAAGGCUUAUGAAAUAGUUUCACUUGAUUUAUUAAUGAAAACUUUUAUUUAUAGGUUUAAGAUAGACAAUUAUGUUUAAAAUAAAAAUACGAUAAAAUAAUAAUUUUAAACAAUUCAAAAUUAGAAUAUGAAAUUGUAAAAGCCCAUUUUUGCCCGGGCCCACUAAACAAAAAAUAAACUAAAUAAAAAUUAAUUGAAUGGUCCAAUUACAAGUCCAUUUACAAGGCCCAAAUACUCUACAGCCCAAAAACCAAAAAAUCAAGGCAGAAACCCUAGCCUCUGCUUAGCGCCGCAGCCACCAGCAGCUACUGUACGUCCACCACGUGCGCCUCCGUACGCCUCACGCUAGGUGCCAACACACGCUCCGUACCUGCGAAAAAAAACAAGCAAACAGCAGCAACAAUAGCCAAUACGAAAGCAAAAAGAAAAAUUGUAUUUUUAUUUGAACAUUCGGCUAUAAAGCCAGGGGGAAUCGAUUGUAAUUUUUUUUUUUGGGAGGCACACUGGAUAUCAAAAGAAAUCAAGACGAAAGUUAUUGGAAGGUGAUUUCCAAAUUUGUUUUUUUUUUCGUUUCUUGUGAUUAGCUUACAAUUUAGGCAUGAAUACAUGAAGUGGAUACUCGAAUCGACGCCGAUGAGAGCCCGAACAUCUCAAAAAUAUAUAGAUGUGGGCGAGGGUCGAAUGGUAUCGAGAUUUUGUUUAAAUCUUCAAAGUUUGUUUCGUUUUUUAAAAGAAUAUCAUAAGAUUCGAGGUUUUUUUUUUAAAUAAAGAAAAAAAGGAGCAAAAUUACCAGAUCACCGUAGUCACGGCCUCGGUUGGCGAAAUCUGGCCGUUGUUCACUCCGUCGACCAUCGAAUGGAUGGUGGUUUGGCGGCUGCAUGCUGAACUAACCCUAACAGAGCAGGUUAAGGGGUUCUUUCUUUUUUUUUUUUUAAAAAAAAGGCUUAAAGAUUAUUAGUGUUUUGAAAGGCAAAUAAAUGGAAAAGGGAGUUUUAAUAUCAGGUUUAGAAAAUGGUGCCAUUCCAAGGGGUAAAGACCCCGCGUGUUGACCCGUUUAGCAGGCCAGAUUCAUGUGCCUUGACUUAAAUUGGGAGAUUUCCACACAUGACCCCUCUCAUUCACUCUAAUGUUGAAUUAGGCCCUAUGUGUACUUUAGUUAUUUUUAAAUGGCAUCUAGAAUUAAGAAAUCACAUCAAUUUAGCCCGCGUUUAAGCCUUGCGUUUUGGGACCAGGAUUAUUUCCAACUUUAGUUCUUUAGAAUUUACGCGUAUUGUGUGUUAACCCUCC
rnacentral:lncRNA from 1 species